rnacentral:lncRNA from 1 species
AAAAAUCUUACAAAAGCUAUUAUACUGUAACUAAUCAGCUAGUGAAACCCGAGGGGAUAGUAACCCAUUUUCAUUGUCAAUGCCUAGCUUCAUUUUUUUUUUUUUUUCUCACUUGAUGAGUGCUUACCUUCAUUUCGAAGGUCGUGACACCAACUGAUUUUAGCAAAAGCAGAGAUACUUUGUGAUGCAGUAAGCUAACAAGUUUCUGAAAUCAACUAUGUUUUGAACCAAAUUUCGGCGACGACCAGCAGCUGAAAAGCCGGUGAUUAAAGGGCACACUAGGUGCGUAAUUCUAUCAAAUCUUAAAACUGAAGUUAGGUUUUAUUAUUUUCUUGCAUUUUGUUGAAAAUUGCUGUUAGUUAGGUGCUUUAUUCUUUGUUCCCAUUAAUUGAGAAAAAUGUUUAGGGUUUAUAGAAAUUGAAGUAGUGACCGAAUAUAUCUGAAUUGAUUUUUGAGUUGAUAGUCAUUCGAAAUGUUGUGUAAACCAUGCAAAUGAUUUAUUUUUUGAUGAUUUUGGACUGUGGGUUUUGAAUGCUCACUGAAAUUUGCUUGAUAUGUUCUUUAAAUUGAGAAAAAUCCAAGCUUCUUCUAAGAAUACAGAGGUGUUGCUGAGAAAAUGCUUAUGGUGUUGUUUUGUUUCUUUUUUUAUUUUACAAGUGGGCAGUUCAUGUAAGAUUGAGACAGUUGCUCUUGUUGCUUUUUGAUGUUUUGUAUAGACUGAUUCCAAUCACUGAUUUCUGUUGGUAAAUGGAUGCUAUUUUUUUUUUUUCCUUUCUUCACAUAAAAAUUUGUACUUCCCAACAUAAAAUUCAGAUGCUUGCCUAUUGUUUUUUGAGGUUCUCAUUAAGGUGUAAGAGAUAAAUUAAUUAUAGAGCUUGUAGGCAGUUGGUUUAUUGAAGAACCAGUACAGUUGAGAAAGUGUCUUUUGGGACAUCCAUUUUAAUACAAAGAUUAACAGAUUUAAUUACAUAAACACAAGACUUCAUUUGUUUAUCAAAGUAGUACUUCUGAUGCUUUCGUAUAAUGAAUGCCAAAGAGAUGACAUUUGCAAAAAGGCCAUUUGAAUGUACCAAUUGCUAUCCUUGUAAACCUCUAUUGUGAUUCUGUUAUCAUUAUAUGUUGUUUAAUGAUCUGAUGAUUUUGAGAUAUCAAGAUGAGUUUAUGGUAGUACAUGUUCAUUUAGCUACUUUAGGUACUAAUACAUGCAUUUAUUGUAUAAUGCCUACUUAGCAGCCAUAACUACACUCAUUGUUGAAGCUACAGCAACACAAAUGAGAAAAAACAUGCUGAGGAACAACAUUGUCUUUAUAUAAUUGCAUUUUACUCCAUUUUGUUGUGCUUUUUGCAUCAGUGACUUCAAAUCCAUCAUAUCCUUUUGCAUACUCAUCAGCAGUUCAUAAUUUGCUUGACAUGUUCCUAAACCAGCAAAUAUAACGCCUCGAUCGAUAUCAUUUGAGGAUGGCAUCCAAAACUUGAAAUAGCCACAACCAUUUUUGCUAUCCAUACAGCAAUAACAUAGCUUGUUUGGGUUGUCAUCUGAUUCCGCUACCUUCAUAGCAGCUCUUUUGUAGCAUUUACAAAUCUUGUUUGAAAAUCGAAUGAAUUUAAAAUAUUAUCAUUUAUUUUUUUUUGUAGCAUUUACUAAUCUUAUGAUAUUCAGUAUUGUUUUUAUAUAAAUUAAUUUAAAAUAUUAUCAUUUAUUUAUCUUAUUAUGUGAUUUUACACUAUCAAAUUAUUUGUUUUAAGGGGCAUUUUGGUCUUUUCAACACUCAUUUGAGUUUUGUCUUAUUAUAAGAAUAUGUAAUGUCAACAGCAAUUAUCAUAAGGGUAUAAUGGCCUUUUCACUGCUCUACAAACCCCCCCCCCCCCCCCAACCCCGCAGCCAAAAACAAUUUCGCCCCAAAUAUAAAGAUCAUCUACCGUGUCCAAUAAUUUUGGCAUUCAUUGAAAUGUGUACUGAAGGGCAUUAUUGUAUAUUCACUCAACUACCUAACGGGUGCCUAACCUUCAUACAUGGCCAGGGGGUUUAUUGUCAAUAUAUGGAUACAUUCUCUCUAAGUGUGUCAAAGCCAAACCUCAGGAGAGGUUUCUAAAAGUUUUCCUGAAUAGUUAAUAAUUUUGUACAACAGAUUCCUGGAUACCCCUCAGGUUCACUGAUUCUACGUUAUGGCUGACUUUCAAGAAAUUAAAUUCUACAUUAUGACCCCCAGUGAAACAUUGUUGCCGAUAAAAUUAUAAAAUAUAUGUGUAAUACUAGUCAAACCUAAACCUACGUCGUUUAGCAAUUUACAAAAUGAGAAAGACGACAAAAACCGGAUGUUGGACCGGCAACGAGCCAACGAGAUAAGCUCAAGUUCACUGUGUUUUUUAUGAACCCUCUGAAGACCCAAAACUCUAGGUUUGUUUUUUACGUUCCCUAACUGUUUGACUACAUUUUUAUUCUUUGCUACGUUCGUUAUGAACUGUUCAGGCUAAGUGCUCGACGAAAUUCCUAAGUGAGUGUGUAUAAUGGUUUGCUCUUGUAUUUAUUCUGUUAUAGAAGGUUUUGCUUUGGGUGGUUAAAUAGAUGAGACUAGACAUUGAACUUUAUGCACUUGUAUGUUUUCAAGUAAUUGGUUGUUCAGGCACAUGUACUUUGAAUUGCUUCAUUCAUCUUCAGAGAUAUCAUAACUUUUGUUGUUAAUUUGUCUAAAGUGAAGGCUUUUUUAACUUUUAUUUCUUUGAUUUAUUUAUUUAUUGGUGUAUCGAGGUUCUGUGUCUAAACUUUUAUUUGAUAAGUUCUUUCGGACUACUAAUUAGAAGAAAAAAGUGCUAGAGAGUGAGUAUGAGAGGGAAUGAUGUUUGGGCAAGGGGUGAUUGGUUCACUUGGCUCAUGAAGAACCCCAACUAUAAUGGCAUGUAUCAAUUUCGCAGCCUAAUUGGCAGGUAAGCUCAUUUCUUGAUUUCCUUCAUUUUUCACUUCCAUUUUACUGUUUUCAGGUAGCAGGUAAUUUAAAUAAAAGUAAAAUCAGUAGUGAUUUGCUUCAAGUGCAUGUGGAUAGUAUAUCACAUGUGAGAAGAUUGUAUUUGUUAUAUGAAAAUCCUUAAUAACUUUAAUUAAAAAAUAUAUUCUCAAACCUGAUUGUGGAAUGUACUAUUUCUUAAUAUCUGAGUUUGGAUCAACACAUUUUUUGCCAUGCAAUUUGACAAGUUGUCAUGUCCUCAUUCUGCGCUAUUAUAAGUUUUGCCAAUCUGCAUAGGUAUUUUUAUAGAUUGAGUUAAUCUAGUUUCGAGAACAUGCCUUACUAAAGGGCGUUGAGUUUCUAAGUGAAGGCAAGUGCAACUAUAAUUAUCUAUUUCAUAUCCUCCUUGUUACCUCUAAAUUCUUUCAAUAACUUGGGGACGUUAAUCCUAUUAACGACAGCCACAUAUUAUAAGUCGAGAAAACUGAUUUUUUGAUUAUUGAAAAAUUAAAUUUUUUGUAUUAUUCUAUUGUGAUCUCAGUAACCUACCUGUUGCGGUUGUCUUGUAUGGAUCAUUGUUUCUCUUUUAAGCUGUUAUAUUGACAAUUUUUAGCUCUUAUUGCAGAUCUUAAAGUCAUUGCAAGCACAUGCUCCAUUGAUCUCCAUAAAUUCGGAUACAUAUGUAUAGUUAGCUAUUCAAACAACCACACUGGUAUUCAACUUCAAUAUUCAGAAACAUGGCUGAAGUGAAGCUUCAUGGGGCAUGGGCGAGUGCAUUUUGUUACAGAGUGAUAUGGGCUCUGAAAUUGAAAGGCAUAGCAUAUGAUUACAUUGAAGAAGAUCUCUCUAACAAAAGUGCUUUGCUUUUGAAGUAUAAUCCAGUUCACAAGAAGGUCCCAGUGCUUGUUCAUGACAAAAAAUCCGUUUGCGAGUCCAUUGUUAUCCUUGAAUACAUUGAAGAGAUGUGGCCACACAAUCCCUCCUUGAUGCCAAGUGAUCCUUAUGAUGGAGCUCUGGCUCAUUUCUGGAUUAAAUUUGCCGAAGACAGGGUUCGCUUCAGAACUCUAGCUAAUGCGUUUAUAAGUUCAUUAUUUUCAUGUUUAUUUGUUAUUAGAGAAAAUGAUCAGUCCUCCAUUGUAUGUCAAAAUUAAUCAUUUCUUCUUUUAUGUUUUAAAACCUAUCAAAAUCUCCAUUGUUGUUCAAAAAAUUCUGUUGACUUUCAACUUUUUGUGUCUUUUACUAAUUUACCUCUGGAAAAAUUUUUAUUAUUAAGAAGUUGAAAGUUUAUUAGAAUUUUUUUAAUGGCAGGGGAAAUUUUGAUGGCUUUUGAAAUAUGAGGGAGAAAGGAAUUGAUUUACCAAAACAGCAUUGGGGUUUUGUUGUUCAUUUCCCCUGUCAUUUGAUGUAGUGGUUAACCUUUGGUAUAAGGAUGCUUGACAAGGGUAUUUAGGUCCAAGUCUUUUAGCUCAUACGUAUUAUUAAUCAUGUGGUGAUAUUUUGGCAGGGAGCUACUGUUUGGAAAAAGUUUUGUAGCGUACAAGAUCAAGAGAGUACAAUGAAAGAAAUCUUGGAAAUGCUAAAAACCGUUGAAGAACAUGGCUUAGGAGAGAAGAAAUUUUUUCAUGGAGACAUUGGCUUAGUGGACAUAGCAUUUGCUUCUAUUGUUUAUUGGUUGCAAAUAAUUGAAGAUGUAGCAAGAGUGUAACUAUUUGAAUCUCACAAAUUCACUAGCUUACACGUUUAGUUUGAAAAUUUUAAACGAGUCCGAGAAAUUGAAGAGAACCUUCCUAAUCGGGAUGAACUGUUGGGUUUUUUCAAACGUAGCCGUGAAAAGUUGGUGGCCUCAUCCUCAUUGCAUUAGCACAAAAUUUGAUCAUGCAAUUGUAUUGUUGUCAAGAGGCCGCGCUUUGCUUAGUUUUCUAUUGUCUUUUGUGCUCAAUUGGGAGGCCGCCGGUUUGCUGGGUGCUUUCAUAUGGAUUUGAGUUAUAAAAGGGACUUGACUUUAUAUUUAUGAAUUAUUGCAUGUAUUUCGUUAAUUAUUAAUGGACUAAUAGCGGUUAUGUAUUGUUUGGAAGGAAGUUUGAAUGCUAAGAUGUACUAAUGACUUAAUGACGUGUGGCAAAAAAAUCAGUUAAGUAAAGUCAACUUGAUUGAACGAAUGAUAAUAUAGCUCUCAAAAGUUAGAAGAUAAGCUCCCUAUGGAAAAAGAUAGUUUUGGUAAUAUGUCUAACAUUAAGGGGUAUUAUCGAAACUUAAAUUUUAAUGGUUAGACCCAGUAUGUGAACAGUGUGCCAUUAUUUUUAGGGUUAUAUUUUGCUAAGAAUAACAAGCCAAUAGAACUUUAGAGACUUUUUUCUAGAUCUAAUUUCUUGAGAGACUUCUUCAUCUUCUUCAUCCUCUAUUUUUAGGGUUUCUUUCUCCAUUUUAACACCACCAUAGAAAAUCUUAACCAUCUUAUCCCCCAAAGAAACCUCUUCCCUUACUCUUAUCUUGGAAAACUCUCUAAUCUCUAUGAGACUCAUAUCUCUCCCAUGUCAUUAUUCCUCAGAAACAAUCUUUAAUAAGAUUUUGUCAAUAUUACAAUGCAAAUUAUGUAAUACUUCAUUUAUAUAGUGGAUUGGAUAUGAAUUACUCUUAUGGAUGUAGAUCAAAGGGCCAACCACCUAAAAUCUUGUGUGUUCUUUAUUGUUUAUGCUUAUUUUCUAUUUAUUAGGAUGAUGAUAAUGCUCAGAUCGUAUUUCAUAUAUGAGCUCACUAGAGGCAUACCACGAGCUCUAUUGAGUUCCCCAAAUAAGCUCUCUAGUUAAAGCUAUCCUUAAAUAUGCUAGAGCUACUCCCUAAACUCUCUUGAGCUCCGCAAAUCAACUAUUUAAACUAAAUCCCAUGAGCUACACAAAGCUUACCUCCCAACAGCAAAAUACCAAGCUUACCUCAAUUCAUCUUCCAGAUCACCUCAGUUAUUUCUUUUAUCCCUAACAGUAGAAAAACACACUUAGAUUUUUACUAGCUCAAUCUCACCUCAAAUAUAAAUUUAAUUAUUUAAAUUGUCUUUGACCUAGAUCUAGUGAGGACAAUGAUUCAAAUCAGAUCCUAGAGGAAAUCCGGUCAAAACAUGUAUCUAUGUAUAAUAUUGAACAUCAUCCUAACGAUCAAUCCGAAUGCACUUGGAUUUGUUCUUAAUAGUACACAAAAGUGGAAAAAGCAUAGCAAGCAACACUUGCACACACGAGGCUCAAUACAAGUACGAACGUCACAAUUCCAAGCAACAAACAAUGAUCAUCAGUACUAAUUUUUUCUGCAAGCCACCAAAUUGGAAAAUACCGCCAAGUAAUUAAUUAACCACUCUGACUUGCCAGCUUAAGCUUAUCCAAUGCUGAGAGUUCAUUAUUCUUCAAGGAUUGGUUAUUGUAAAUGUCUUUUAGAGUAAUUUCAGGAUAGAGCGGAGGAUUUACUUCUGAUAGCAACUCUUUAAUUGGACCAUAUCGUCUCGAGCAACUAUUAUUCAUGAAAAAACUUCCGAUUGAAAUUCUGGAGCCUUCCUUAUUUGAUAACACUCUAUGAUAGGCACUCUUGAACUUAUCGUUGGUAAUCAGCUGCAUGAACACAAACAUGUUGGUAAUCAGCUGCAUAAACACACACUUCAUAUAAACGACAAUUAAGUUAUCUGAUAGAGAUUCAUGCUCAGGUGUAGACGUUCACAUGAAAUUUCGUGAGGACGAUUCUUUCACAGUAUUGUGAAAGUGUGUGUCCGUACAAGAUUUAGUGCGAAUGUCGCACCAGAGAAUUUUCAAUUCGAUGGAUAGUAUUUCUUAAUAAGUUAUCUAACACACACUUGCCUGCAUCAUGUAGCCUAAGUUUACAACUAGAGCUCCCGGAACAGGGGCAAUGUCAAACCACUGAUCUUCGUGAAAGACUUGGAGGCCACCAAUUUGAUCUUGUAUGAGCACAGUGACAAAUCCAGGGUCAGAAUGUGUUGCUAUGCCGAUGGACAAUUCUGGUUGAGGGCAUUCAGGGUAGUAACUAUUCCCAAUAGUCAUUUCCUCUACACAACCUAUGUUUUCCACAUUAGGUUGUUGUAUGUGAUCAUUAUCUCUCUGCAAAUUAAUAAAGACAAAAAAUAAUCACUACUAAAAGAAAGGGAGAAUGACAUUUCGACUUUUAGAAAUUGUUUUUUUAUUGGGUUAACAUCUAGAUGAAAUGAGAGUAAUAAAAACUUAUUAGGAACCCAAGUGAUGCAAAAAGUUCUAAGAAAGAGGCAGGUGUUAUCCACUGUAAAAGAAAUACAAUCUAUUGGUCAUCGUCCACAUACCUGCAAGCUUCAGGCAAAUCUUCAGGAUUUGAAAAAUCGCGACCCAUAACACAACUCAAAGUAUCUUUCCAAAAGAGAGUUGGUGCACUAUACAAAUUUAAAUUUGAACAAUAUUUAAUUUUUUUGGAGUAAUCACGAGAAUAAUAUUUCUGCUUAACCUCAACAUCUUGUUCAAAAAACCUACGGAUCCCAUCAAUGGCUUGAUCCAAAAUGCUUGUUGGGAUUCCAUGAUUGAUCACUUGAAAGAAACCCCACGCCUCACAAGCACUUCUAAUUUGGUCAAUUACCUGAGAACGCAAGCUUGAAUCCUUGUUUAUUCUUUGAAGGUCUAUGAUUGGGAUGCUGAUUUUGGGGUCCCUGCAGAUUGGCUUAUCAUCAAACUUAUAUUUAGUGUGAUGAUCUUGAAUGAAGAUCUGUGGAAUGGUUGUGAUCCCAGCAUCUACGAGUCCCUUAACACCAGCUUUCGUGUCAUCAAAAGCUUUCAACUCGCUAACUCUGUCACAAGUAAUGCUUCCCAUUGCUUGGUGAAUUAUCUAUUACUCGGUGAAUUAUGAAGUACAAGUGCUGACUUGCUGAUGAUUGCUUUUGGGAGAUACCAUUUAUAUGAUUGCUAGCUUGCCACGUGCAACAUGUUGACAUAUAACGUCACCACGAUGAUAUGGAAAUUUGUAAAUUUGAUUCUGCAUUAUUUAUCAUGAUUAAAUUAAUUAUAAAUUAUCAAUAACAGUCAAUUCCGGGGAUCACCAACCAGUGGGUGGCACAGCACAAUAAUAGACUGGGCUGUGGCUUUGUUUUAUGUGGACAAAAUUUCAAUUAGCUACAGGAUAUUGCUGCUUGAUAGUUAACGUUUCACCUUCUCCAUUUGGACAUACUAUUAUGGAUUUACAGUGUUGCUUAAAAGCUAGAUCUUAAAUGAAAAGAAAGCUUUAAUGGUGAAAUAAAUAUUAAAAAAAAUGAUAAAGAGACUAAAUGUCAACAAAAAUAAUGGUAAAAUAAACCUGUUUUAUCAUGUUAAUAAUAGUGGUAUAUAUUUAACUUUAAUAAAUUUGGCCAUUUCGAUUUUUAAUUUGGCACCUUCCCUGCUCAGUCAAGAAAAAGAAUACUAUAAAAAUUAAAAUAGAAAAUUUGGUAAGGACAUAUCUGCAGAGAUGUUAUAUAUCAAAGCAAUGUCAAAGUUAUAAUACUUCCCUUAUUAAUGAGAAGAGCACUAGCAUAUACAAGAUCGACAAUCACUUAAAUCAAAGCAAUGUCAAAGUUAUAAUACAUGGGAUCUAAUGCGUACAAGCAAUGGUUUCUGGUCACAGCAGCUUUAGGCUUUCAGCUACAGUAUAAAGUGAAACUGUCGCUUGAAAAUAAAAUUCAUGUUCAGCAGCCUCAUUUUAGAUGGCAUCGGCAUCUGUAGUAUCGUUUGUCUGUAGUCCCUCAUUAUCUACAAUCUGAUCGCUCCCUAUAGUAUUGUUUGUCUGUAGUCCCUCAUUAUCUACGAUCUGAUCGCUCCCUAUAGUAUUGUUGGUCUGUAGUCCCUCAUUAUCUACGCUCUGAUCGCUCCCUAUGUAGAGAAUCGACAACAGCAAAUUGUAGCACACGUUCACAGCACUAAUAACUGUUAAACUCUUAUAGUACUUGUCAAGCCUACUAUCACCCAAGGUUUCGCCAAACUCGCCUUUGUUUGCCAAAAUGCAAAAGAUGUUAAAAAUGCCUCCAAUUCCGACGAAAAAAUAACUUGUUGCUGAUACAUGGUACUCCGUCCGUUCAGGAAAAUGAGAGCUCGAGUAUUCAUCACAACCAUGCCAAGCAAGCCCUUCCAUAAGCCCCAAUAGACAGAAUUGUGGAACAAGCCAAAACAUGCUCAUAUGGGGUUUGUGUUGACAAUUCAAACAUUUAUCUCGCCCUUCCAACCUGCGAACCUCAACCUGCCAUGCCACUAUACAGCACACUGUAGACAUCACCAUUCCAAUGAAUGUUCUCAAUACUUGAGCUUGUCUCUGCUUAGUUUCCAGAGCAAUUUUGGAAAUUAAUUUUUUCAACAGAUAAGAGAUCGUCGCACAAAUUAUGGCUUCAAAAGUUAGAAGAAAGAUUAAGAAUCUUUCAGAAAUCAUGUUAGCUCCCUGCACAGGAAAUAAUGUAUUUCCUGCAGAUAGAACCAAUCCAAACACAAUGAAGCUAGACCACAAUGGCAGCAAUUUAAGAAGAGACUUUGAGUCCCUGACCUGGGCCACAGUGCAAAGUGUGCCUGCCUCUUCUUGUUCUCUAGAAGUACUUGAUGUCUCUAUAAUUGCCGCUUUGUCUAUCCAUCUGCAAUUCAAACAAUUAAUUUAUUGGUAAUUCUUUUUAGGAAAAUAGAAAGCGACAGCUCAUGGUUUGGUAGAAUGAUCACACAAACUCUUUUAUAAAUACACCCUUUUGGACAAAUCUUGGAGCAGAGUGACCAUUUCUAAACACAAAACGAUAUCAGUGUGUCCAUAAAGAGGUCGAUGUAAUUAUUACUAAAAAUAAGUGGGUCUCCCCGACAAUUUUGCCAGACCACGGCCGGCUGUGGGUGUAUACAUGUUAGGUAUAUACCUGAGCAAUUUGAUUCUGGGUGACAAGUGUAGUACGUUUCCCUCAUCAUUACUGAAGAACUGCUCCGGAGAAAGAGGAUAAUUGAGAUGCUUUUUCUUCAGGGAGGUUUUAACAACACGGAUUAUAGCAAAACGGUCAACAGGAGGUAUUUUUGUACUAUGAUAGAAAGGAAUACCCAACAGCAGGAGGAUCAAACUGCCCCCCAUAAACAACAAUGUGAACAUGAAAGUCUUCUUCCAUGUCUUAAUAUUAUUUGCAUAGAAUGCCGCAGCUACACCACAGCACCAGGCAAGCCGCCACCACACUCUUUUCUGAGCCAUUACUUGAUUCUCAUCUGGAUUGACUGUUCUCCCUCCAGCACCAUGUGCUCUUAAUUGAUCGGCAAGAAAUGGUCCCAAGAGAGGCGCCACUCCAACUUUACCCACUGCUAACAGGAUAAUUCCUAUCACGUUGAGCAGCUCAAAGUUGGUUUCCGAAAAUUCUCUCGCUGUAUAGAACAAUAGCCCCAAUGCCUGCAGUAAACAUUGUUGGAACUAAUUGUACAGCAUAACAUUAUGAUCCUAAAAUUGCUUUUCUUAAUCAUUAUUAUAAUCAGGAGUGGAGCCAAAAUGAACAAAUGCCGCAUCAAUUAUAACUUAACUAUUGGGAUCUCUAUCAUUAUUUUUAUACGGGAAUGUCCUCUUAUUACUUUUUUUUUCUACAUGCUGUGAAAUUUAACAUAUACUGCAAAAUAAUAAUUUUUAAAUUUAGCUUAAAGUAUUACAAAGUCCUGGGUCCGCCCCCGGAUAUAUUUCUUGCAGAUGAUAGACAUAUGUUUUAAUUUUUCCUCUGUUUGGAAGUUUAGCAAAUUAAAAACAUAUUAACUUACAAGGACGUAGGAGGCAGUUGAAAAUAUGAGGAUUCUGAGAGGAUGGCUGGUAUAACAGGAAAUCCAGGCGGCAACAACCGCAAGAGUUGCUGAUAUUCCAUCCUGAAUACUCGUAAAUAUUGCAGCUUUCUGAAGAGUGGAUACUUUUGAAAAUUCGGCGUCGGAGAAGUAAGUUAUCAAGACGCCCUCUACAGCCAAGUCUACCAGUUUGUGGCUUAUCAACAAACCUGGAAUCAAAAUAUAAUCAUUAGAAGAAAUGUUCGUGCUCACUGAAAAAAAGCAUACACAUGAAAACUACAAGAACAACAUAAGAACUGUUGCCAUGUUUUUAUAAUUUAGCCCAACCUAAUCAAAGAUCUUAAGACAUUGUUGUUAAAGUGAGGAUAUUAAUAAAAUACAAAAAAAAAAUUAGUUUUCAAUUCUAAAUAAAUACAUUUUUAAAAGAUAUGAUUACCUGACAUAAAUGCAGCAGACUUACAAAAACAGACGUAAUAUCGUACCCAAGUUAUGAACAUGUUUUGAAGCUUCAACAACUGAGAAAAUGGAAACAUUGUAGUUUCUGAAACUGCUUCUUUUAUCUGCAAAUACUUGUGAGCUGUGAAUCCUGAGACGAUGAAGAUUUUGUAAGUAUACCAAAGUCUUCGCUAGUCUUCUAAAAAGUAGACCACCUAUCUGGUCACAUAAUAAUGAAUUACUGUACAGCUCAAUAAUUUUAGGUGGUAUGAAACACGUUUGAUGAGACGGUAAUAAUUAAACUGUACCAUGAAUGAUCCUCAUUGAGUAUAUAAUCCGUUUCUUUUUUCAAACAAGAUUUAUGCUUUAAUUUUGGGAGGUUUGCUAAGUUCUUUCUUUUUUGUAAUGGUUACGGAGACUGACAGUUUUCUAUUGAAGUUAUUUAUACAUGUAUUUAUUUUUCAACUUAUAUGUAAUACAUUUUGGAAAUGAGUAAUGGUACAGUACAAAUACUUUUAGACAAAAAAUGAUGUACAGAUUUAUGUAUGGUACAGUACAAAUACUUUUAGACAAAAAAUGAUGUACAGAUUUAUGUAAUUUUGAAAAAAAGAUACUUUCAUCCUUAUGAUUUGGGAAAAAUUUAUCUAGAAUUUAAGUUUUCAGUAAGGGACACUAAAAUUUAUUUUGAUUAUAAUAUUCUCAAUAGAUAGCAACUAAAAUUAUCGACUUCAAUUUUUUUAAUAAAUAUAAGUAUAAUUUAAAUAGUUUUAUUUGUCCGGUCGACCAAUAAUAUUAGAAUGUUUCUUAAUAUAUAAAAUAAUUUUUAAAAUGUAAAAUAUUAUAUUUAUUUCUUUAAUAUAUUUUAUUUAUUAUAAAAUUUUUAAAUAAAUCUAUAGGCUAAACAGAUUUACGUUUAAUAAAAUACAUCUCAUGUACUAAUAGAAUUAAAAUUAUUUUAUAUAAUAUUGAAAAUAAUUUAAAUUUGAAAUUUUUAUUUUAAAAUUAUGUUUUGAUUUAUUCUGAAAUUUAGUUUAAUAUAAUUUAAUAUUGUAAAGUAUUAAAAUAUUUUAAAAUUAUUAAAAUAUUUUAAAAUUAUUAAAAUUAUUUUAAAAUGUAUAUAUUGUUACAUUUAUUUGAAUAUUACACUUCUAUUUAUUAUAAAACAUUGAAAAGAAAAUUUUAGUCAAAAGAGAGUUUUAGUUGCCCUUACUAAAAAAUGGAGUACAUAACCAUUUCUUUAAACUUUAAGAAGUGUACAUAUUGUUUUUCCUAUUUUUUUUUUAUAAUCACUUGAGUUAAAAGAAUCAUGUGGCCCAAAUAAAUUAUUUUUAUUUAUAUUUUCGAUCAGCAGAUAAUAUGUCAUACCGGUUUGUAUAAGUGUUUAUGAACAGGAAAAAGCGAGGUCAGGCACUAGACGGGUUGGCGAUCAAGCCCUCCAACCCAUGUAUAGUGCUAGUUGGGUAAGUUGGACUUUUCUCAAAGACCCAUUUUCUGUCUUUGAAAUAUUAGUAUGAAAUUAAAAAAAUUAAAAAAAAAUUUAAUUGAAACAACUAAAAACAGAAUACAAAAUUACAAAUAAUAACUAUCCCUCUGACUUCAUUGUUCAUAAUAUAUAUAUAUAUAUAUAUAUAUAUAUAUAUAUAUAUAGGAGGCUGUUCCAAUCCGGAAUUCCGGAUUGGAACAAUAUACGGGAUAUUAAGAGUUGGGUUGAAAAUUUUCAACAUCAAACAAAUACAGUUGGUUUUCUCCACCCCUAAGAAAUUAGGAGCUGGCUUUUUACUUGAUUUUAAGUAGAGAAAAUGAUCAAAACGACCUUAUUGUUUGUUAAAUUUAAUCAUUUCUCUUUUAUAUUUCAAAAUCAAUUAAGAAACCUUUAUAUAUAUAUAUAUAUAUAUAUAUUGAACAUAUGGCAUCUUUCACUAUCUUAUCCCCAUAAAUUUUUUAAUCGAUCAACAGUGGGUAAAAUAGUGAAAGCUGCAAUAAGUUGAAAGCAAAUAAUUUUCAUCCCUAGAAUUUUUCCACCAAAUCAUGGUAAAAGAAUAAAAAUCGCAAUUUUUAUAACAAGGCAGCAAAAUAAGAUGAUUUAGAUGGCAUCGGCAUCUGGAGUAUUGUUGGUCUGUAGUCCCUCAUUAUCUACGCUCUGAUCGCUCCCUAUGUAGUGAAUCGACAACAGCAAAUUGUAGCACACGUUCACAGCACUAAUAACUGUUAAACUCUUAUAGUACUUGUCAAGCCUACUAUCACCCAAGGUUUCGCCAAACUCGCUUUGUUUGCCAAAAUGAAAAAGAUGUUAAAAAUGCUUCCUAUUCCGACGAAAAAAUAACUUAUUGCUGAUACAUGGUACUCCAUCCGUUCAGGAAAAUGAGAGCUCGAGUAUUCAUCACAUCCAUGCCAAGCAAGACCUUCCAUUAGACCUAAUAGACAGAAUUGUGGAACAAGCCAAAACAUGCUCAUAUUUUCCAAUUGUUUGAGCUUUUCCAAUCUGCGAGCCUCAACCUGCCAUGCCAUUACACAGCAAACUGUAGUCAUCACCAUUCCAAUGAAUGUUCUCAACACUUGAGCUUGUCUCUUUUUAGUUUUUGGAACAAAAUUGGAAAUUAAUUUUUUUGACAGAUAAGAGAUCGUUGCACGAAUUAUCCCUUUAAAAGUUCGUAGAAAGAUUAAGUAACUUUCAGAAAUCAUGUUGGCUCCCUGCUUAGGAAAAAAUGUAUUUCCUGCUGACAGAACCAAUCCAAACACAAUGAAGCUAGACCACAAUGGCAACAAUUUAAGAAGAGAUUUUGACUCCCUGAUCUGGGCCACAGUGCAAAGUGUGCCUGCCUCUUCUUGUUCUUUAGACGUACUUGAUGUCUCUAUAAUUGCCUCUUUGUCUAUCCAUCUGCAAUUCAAAGAAUUAAUUUAUUGGUAAUUUUUUAGGACAAUAGAAAGCGACAGCUCAUGGUUUGGCAAAAUGAUCACACAGACGCUUUUAUAAAUACGCCCUUUUGAACAAAUCUUGGAGGUCCGUGUGACUAUUCCUGAACACAAAAGGGUAUUAAUGUGUCCAUAAAGAGGUGUAUAUAAUUAUUAAUAAAAAUAAGAGGGUCUCCCCGACAAUUUUGCCAGACCACGGCCGGCUGUGGGUGUAUACAUGUUAGGCAUAUACCUGAGUAAUUUGAUUCUGGGUGACAAGUGUAAUACGUUUCCCUCAUCAUUACUGAAGAACAGCUCCGGAGAAAGAGGAUAAUUGAGAUGCUUUUUCUUCAGGGAGGUUUUAACAACGCGGAUUAUAGCAAAACGGUCAAUAGGAGGUAUUUGUCUACUAUGAUAAAAGGGAAUACCCAACAACAGGAGGAUCAAACUGCCCCCCAUAAACAACAAUGUGAACAUGAAAGUCUUCUUCCAUGUCUUAAUAUUAUUUGCAUAGAAUGCCGCAGCUGCACCACAGCACCAGGGAAACCGCCACCACACUCUUUUCUGAGCCAUUACCUGAUCGUCAUUGGAAUUUUCUGUUCUCCCUCCUUCACCAUGUUCUCUUAAUUGAUCGGCAGGAAAUGGUCCCAAAAGAGGCGCCGCUCCAACUUCACCCACUGCUAACAGGAUAAUUCCUAUAUGUUGAGUAGCUCAAAGUUGGUUUCUGAAAAUUCUCGGGACGCUGUAUAGAACAAUAGCCCCAAUGCCUGAAACAAAAAUUGUUGGAACUAAUUGUAUAGCAUAACAUUAUGAUCCUAGAAAUGCUUUUCUUAAUCAUUAUUAUAAUCAGGAGUGGAACCAAAAUAAAUUAGUGUCACAUCAAUUGUAACUUAACUAUUGAGAUCUCUAGCAUUAUUUUUAUAGGGGUAAGGCUCCUAAUAUCCUCUUAUUAAGUAUAUAUAUAUUUUUUACAUGCUGUGAAAUUUAACAUUUACUGCAAAAUAAUAAUUUUUUAAUUUAACCCAAAGUACUACAAAGUCCUGGGUCUGCCCCUGAAUAUAUGUAUUGCUUGCAAUGGUAGACAUAUGUUUUGAUUUCGUCUCUGUUUGGAAAUUUAGCAAAUUCAAAACAUAUUAACUUACAAGGAUGUAGGAGACAGUUGAAAAAAAUGAGGAUUCUGAGAGGACGAAUGGCAUAACACGAAAUCCAGGCGGCAACAACCGUAAGAGUUGCUAAUAUUACAUCCUGAAUAAUCGUAAAUAUUGCAGCUUUCUGAAGUGUGAAUACUUCUGAAUAUUCGGAGUCGGAGAAGUAAGUUAUCAAGACGCCCACUAUAGCCAAGUCUACCAGUUUGCGGCUUAUCAACAAACUUGGAAUCAAAAUAAUCAUUAGAAAAAAUGUUCGUGCUCACUAAAAAAAGCAUACACAUGAAGACUGCAAGAACACGUGAGGGAACUGUUGCCAUGUUUUUAUAAUUUAGCCCAACCUAAUCAAAGAUCUUAAGUACACCUCUCUUAACUGAAAUUAAUCGAGGGGAUUAUCUAUUUAGGAAUCUCAAAGUUCAUGAGCUCUUAAUACACACACAGUAUAUACAUACAUACAUCAUCAUGUUGUUAAAGUAAUGAUGUUAGUAAAAUACAAAAAGAAUAUACGUGCAUGCUAUUAAAUUGUAUGAUUUAAUAAAAUGAGUACAGAUAACUAAAUUACAUGAUUUUAUAGUAUUGAAAAUUAAUUCUAUUAAAUCAUACAAUUUAAUAGUGUGUCUAUAUUAAAAAAAUAAAUAAAGACCCCAUAUAUAUGUAUACAAGUUUAUAUUCUAAAUAAAUACAUUUUUAAAAGAUAUGAUUACCUAAGGCCCCACGUGCAAAAUUACCUGACAUAAAUGCAGCAGCCUUACAAAAACAGACGUAAUAUCGUACCCAAGUUUUGAACCUGUUUUGAAGCUUCAACAACUGAGAAAAUGGAAACAUUGUAGUUUCUGAAACUGCUUCUUUUAUCUGAAAAUACUUCUACUUGUGAGCUGUGAAUCCCGAGACGAUGAAGAUUUUGUAAUUAUACCAAAGUCUUCGCUAGUCUUCUAAAAAGUUAGUUUAUUCAAAUUAAAAAAUAAUAAGUCGCACUUCAAGACCAGCUAUUGGUCACAUAAGUCAAAAUAAUGACUUACUGUACAGCUCAAUAAUUUUAGGUGGUAUGAAACACGUUUGAUGAGACGGUCAUAAUUAGACUGUACCAUGAAUGAUCCUUAUUGAGUAUAUAACCCCUUUCUUUUUUCAAACAAGAUUUAUGCUUUAAUUUUGGGAGGUUUGCUAAGUUCUUUCUUUUUGUAAUGGUUAAGGAGACUGACAAUUUUCUAUUGAAGUUAUUUAUACAUGUAUUUCACUUUUAGAUAAAUAAUGUUGUACAAACUAAUGUGAUAUUUUUUAGAAAAAAGUAUAUGUAUAUCCUUAAGAUUUUAAAAAAUGGUCAUAUACAUUCUGAAUUUUUAAUAAGGGACACCAAAACACUUUUUUACUAUAGUAUCCUUAAUAGAUAGUAACAAAAAAUAUUGACUAAAUAUUUUAAUAAAUAUAAAUAAAAUUUAAAUAGUUUAAUUUGUCUAGUAGACUAAUAAUAUUAGAAUGUUUCUUAAUAUAUAAAAUAAUUUUUAAAAUAUAAAUUAUUAUAUUUAUUUUAAUAAUAUAUUUUUACUUAUUAUAAAAAUUUUAAAUAAAUCUUUAGGUUAGAUUUUAAAUUUAAUAAAAUACAUGUCAUGUACUAAUAAUAUUAAAAUUAUUUUAUAUAAUAUUGAAAAUAAUUUAAAUUUUUAAAAUUUUAUUUUAAUAUUAUAUUUCAAUUUAUUUUGAAAUUUAGUUUAAUAUAAUUUAAUAUUGUAAAGUAUUAAAAUAUUUUAAAAAUAUUGAAAUUAUUUUAAAAUGUAUAUAUUGUUACAUAUAUUUUAAUAUUAUACUUCUAUUUAUUAUAAAAUAUUAAAAAUAAUAUUUUAGUCAAAAGGGAGUUUUAGGUGUCUCUUAUUGAAAAAAUGGAACGUACAUAACCAUUUUUUCUAAUUUUUAAGGGUGUACAAGUCAUUUUUCCUACUUUUUUAUAAUCAGUUGAAUUAAAAAAAGUCAUGUGGCCACAUAUAGUAUUUCUUACUUAUAUUUUCAAUCAGCAAAUCAUAUUGUGUCAUAUCUGUUUGUAUACGCAUUUAUGAACAUAAAAAAGUAAGGUUAGGCACUAGUCGGGUUGGAAAUCAACCCAUCCAACCCAUGCAUAGUGCUAAUUGGGUGAGUUGGACUUAUCUCGAGACCCAUUUUCUGUCUUUGAAAUAUCAAUAAGAAAUUAAAAUAAUUAAAAAAUAAUUUAAUAGAAACAACUAAAAAUAGAAUACAAAAUUACAAAUAAUAACUAUCCCUCAAACUUCAUUGUUAAUAAAAAAAAUUAUUUGUAUAGGAUACUAAUCACACCAUAAAAAGUAAUAGGGUGAAUUCAAGAGUUGGGUUUGAAAAUUUUCAACACCUAGGAAAUAUAGUGCAUUUUCUCCACCCCUAAGAAAUUAGGGGUUGGCUUUCUACUUGAUUUUAAGUUGAGAAAAUGAUCAAAACUACCUUAUUGUUUGUUAAAAUUAUAGGUUGAAUUUAAGAGUUGGGUUUGAAAGAUGCAAUGUGUUCAUAUAUAUGGAAUGUGCUUUCUUUAGCACUUAGCCGAAAGCUUCAAAUUUCCAUUAAUAAGACGGUUAAUGAUGAAUUCAAAGAGCCAAUAAGAUUUCAACAAAAUACAUUUUUUCAACUUUGUGUGCAAAUUAAUUACGUCUGUAUUUGGAUGGUUAAUAUAAACUAGUCAUAUAAUUAACCACGCAUUAAUUAAUCAAAUUUUUAUUAUUUAAUAUCUUUGCAUCAGAUGAUCAUUGAUCAAUUAACAAGAUAUUUUCCUUUUGUGCAUGUAUCCACAUUGGACGUCAAUAUAGUAAUUUGUUAUGAAAAAAAAUUCAAUCAAAAUUAUUUUUAAUAUUUUUAAUUUUCUAUCUAACUUAGUGCUUGUUUAGUAUAAAAUAUCUAACGCCCAGCAGUAGGAUAACUCCAACAAUUUCCCUCACACAUCGGGCCUUGGGUCAAAAGAUAAACACUCGUUCUCUUUAUUAGAUUGUUGGGCUGAGAUUGUUGAUGAAUGUGGACUCUGAUACUAGUGUUAGGUAGUCUUAAACUUCUCUCAACCCCAAAAGUAAGCUUAGGGGUGAGAUUUUCCUGACAUUUAUAAAAUCACCAAUAGCCCUUUUCACAACCCAUGUGGGACAACUUCGAUAGUUUGAUUGUAUUUUGAGUAUAACUUUUGAAGAUUAAAUAAAUUAUUUUGCUUCUAUUAGUAAAACCUUAAAAAUUAGAUUUUUGAGAGUGAUGGUCAUAGUACUUAAAGAAUAAAUUGUGUAGAAUAACGUUUUAUAUAUUUAAUGAUCUUAUUCCAUUCCUUUUAUUUUUUUGAUUUCUUUUAUUUUUUAACCUAACAAAAACCUAGUCCCUUCUCCACCCAUUUGAGUAGGGUGCGAAUCUCAGAUCUCUUGCUUUCAACCAGAUGAUACCCAUAAAUUAGAUCAAAUCCUUUUCAUAAUAUCACUUGCCGCAAUAGUAAAAUUAAACUAAGCAAAAGUACUCUUUUUAACACCAAUACAAAAACAAAACAAUCAUAAAGCGAGACACAAAAUAUUAAAAUAAAAAUCAUAAUAUUGCAUCUAUCCACAUGCCACCAACAUUUUCCAUCAACUGUUUGAAAGAGAUCCUCCAUCUCAUCCUGCUUUGGAAGCUAUUCUAAGGAGACUUGCUUGAAAAUUUUAAACCACUCGUGUGUAAGCUAGGGAAUUUUUAAGAUUCAAAUAGCUUCACUCCCUCUGUGCCUCCAUUUUGUAUAACUUUUUAAAUAGAGUUUAUUUAAAUAGGCAUUCAAUUAGUAGAGUUUUUACAAAUAGAUCUUUUACCAAAAAAAAAAAAUUGUUUAGUUCAUCAGUUGUCCAAAGAGAUUUUAUUAAAAAUUAAAAAUUAAUUUCAAUGUACAAGUUUUCUAAGUUAUGUUGUGAAAUGGAUACGAAUAAAAUAAGAAUAUAAAAUAAAUAAUGGGCAUAUUAGAUAGUUUAAUAAUUUAAAAAAGCUUUCUAAUCUCUACUCCAAAAAAUUCAAAAUUCAAAUUUUUGCUAAUAGAGUCAAUAUAAUUUAUUUAAUCCCAAAAACUAAAUUCAAAAUAAAAUAUGACCAUUAAAUAAGCUAAUACUAAACAAGCACUAUACCUUUGAAGGACUUGCAACCCAUCAAAACUCUAGGUCCACUAAGCCAAUAUUGUUCUUGUCCAGUGCUAAAAAACAUUUUUCCAAACAGCUCCACCCUGCCGCAAUAUAUAUAAAUAAUAUGGAUAAGAUCCUCUCUUUCUUUCUUUUUUUUUUCCCCCCUCUCAUAUUCUUCAACAAUGUUGAAUUAACAAGUGAUCCUAUUUUUAAUUUAAAAAAGGAGUCAUGUUUUUAUUAAUUUUCAAAUUACAUCUAUGUUUUGAUUAAUUAAAAAGGCCAGCUAAUGAGAUCAUUAAUUUGGUCAACUACUCAGAUAACCGUGCAUCAAUUAUACAAUAGGCAUUUCUUUCCCAAAAUAAUAUAUUUGCGUCAUGCAUGACGAUCACGGAUCACUUGUAUUAGAGAGCUUAGGUGCCCAGCAAGUCAAGUUGCAAGCUGCUGUCUUUGGCCAUACCUUUGAAGCACAAAUACUUCUUUUUAUUCCUGUUUGAUAGUACGGUUAAAAUCAAGGCAUCAAUCAGGAAGUUGCGCAGCAAGUCAGGUUGCCCAGCCGCUGUCUUUGACUGUACCUUUGAAGCACAAGUACUUCUUUUCAUUCUUGUUUGAUAGCACGGUUAAAAUCAAGGCAUCAAUCAGGUGGGUGCCCAGCAAGUUAGGUUGCCGAGCUGCUGUCUUUGACUAUACCUUUGAAACGCAAAUACUUCUUUUCAUUUUUGUUUGAUAGCAUGGUUAAAAUCAACGCAUCAAUCAUGUACUUAUUGUGAAUCGUUGAAGUAGAUGUACAAUGCAUAAUAAGUAAUAUUUAUUUAAAAAUUGAAGCUUCUAGAUAAUUUCGAUAUAAAUUAAGUUCAGUUUUUACUUCAUCAAGGUGAAACAUCAUAAAGCUUGUAAAUCUAACACAUGAACGUAAAAGCUUUAAAAAAAUUUGAAGUUGCUUGAUAACAUAGAAAUACAAGCAAAAAGAGAUGCUAAAGAAUACAGCCCGAAUUUUUCAUUGGGUGGGAUUAUUGAUCAUGCUAGCAUAAUGAUGAGUUGCCCGAUAAUACCCAAGACUUUCUCGAUAUUAUCAUGUAGAAGGUCAGGACCGCCCACCUACAACUGUUGUUCAGCACUCAGAGAGACUUUUCACCCAGUUCUUAUGGGGUGACUCUGAGACUGGGCAAUAGAUUAAUUGUUGUGGAUGGAUGGCAGUUUGUUAUCCAGUUGAUAAGGGAUGCCUGGGUAUACAAUCUUUUAAUGAUAUGGUUGAGGAUUUUGAGCUUAAGCUUUGGUUGUGUUUUUAGGAGCAGCUUUCAUUAUGGGCUUCUUUUAUGAAGUCUAAGUAUUGUACAGCUGCACAUCCGAGUAUGGUUUAGUUUUGAUAUCCUACCUACCCUCUUUGGAGGCACCUAUGCUUGAUUCAAUAUGUUGGUGAGCUUCAUGUGUGUUGGCUGUUUGGCCGAGGGUUGUUUUUGGUAUGAUUGUUAGCUGGGCUCUUGUCCUUUGGCCUUUUAUAAUCAUGUGGUGGCUUUUCUAGGGCCGAUUUCGAGAUUAUUAGCAAGAUACAGUAUGAGAUAGGGGUAAGCUUCAGGAUGUCCUGCCCUUUUUAAUUGUUGUGCAUAUUCUUUUGAUUCCUAUCUCUAGUGGGGAACCAGAUGUGAUUUUGUACGUGGGACAUUUCUCCUGAUGGUAGUUUUUCCUUGAGGACUACUUCGGAUAUUGUGCAUUGGAUAAGGCCGAGGGAUGAGGCUUUUUUUGUUAUUUGGCAGCGACAUAUCUCUUCGUGGAUAUCCUUUUUUUCUCUAGAGGUUGUGACACAAAUUCUUGACCACAGAUGAUGCCUUGUGUUCGGGGGAUUUCUACAUACUUUCUUAGUAUCUUUGUGGUCGGGCUUCUGAGACUUCUAGGCAUUUAUUUCUUGAUUGCCCUCGAGUUAGGCCGGUUUGGGUCCAUUUUCUAUGUACUCUUGGUUUGCGCUAUGUUGCUUUUCUGUUCCCCUAUACUUUAUUUCUUAAUUGGUAGUGAUAUGCCCUUUCUUGAAGCCAUAUUCAAGUUCUUCUUCCUUGUUUCAUUUUGUGGUAAGUUUAGAAGGCUUGUCAUGCAUUGAAGUUUGACUCAAUGGCCUUUUUUGUUGAUGCCAUUAUUUAUCGGGCGAUGUUGGAUCUUAGGCUUGCUGGUUUUGCCUUUGGUCUUAAACCAUUCCAAUUGUGAAGAGUUUUAGGUUCUCGGUUUGCAGAGUGCUUGAGAGUUGUUGUUUCAUCUAGGAGGCCGAUUCUUUUAGUUUAUUGGUUGUGGCCACCACCUGGGGCGGUGAAGCUGACUAUCGAUGGUUGCUUUAGGAGUAAUCCUAGGAUCUCUGCUUUAGAUAGUAUUUUACUUGAUCAUCGAGAUGUGGCUUUGGCUGUUUUUGGUUCCUUCCUUGGGCGCUAACCGAUCCUUCAUGCAUAAUUCAUGGUUGUUUUUAGGGGUUAGAGUUGGCUGCUCAGCUCCAUUAUUCUGUGCUUGAGGUAGAGUCAGACUCAGCCAUGGCGGCUUCUAGGAUUUUUUUGUAAGGCCUUGUUCAUUCGGACUAUACCUAUUCUUUGCGUCGAGUGUGUAGUUUGACAUUUUCUUCUACUUCGUGGUUAGUCAUGUGCUUCGGAAGGCUACUUCUACUGCUGAUUUCGUUGGCCUGCACUCUUCAAGGUCAUCGGUGUUUCUUGGGUUCUCAGGAUAUCUCUGCUAGCUUAUCUAAUAAUCUCCGUUUGGAUAUGUGGGUAAUUUCUCAUAUCAGGCAAUAGGAUUUCUUAUUUCUGUAUUCCAUUUUUUAUCUUGUAUUUUUCUCUUUUCCAUUCUUAUGUUCUUGCAAUUGCGGUUUUGAUUUAUAUUCAUCUCCUUAUGUAUUUGAUUCAUUCUAUGAUUUAUAUGAAAGAUAGGGGUUCCACCUAACCCCACAUUUUUUGUGGUUAAAAAAAAAGAUCAGGAAUUCAACCUAAGUAAUCAAGGUGAAACAUCAAACAGGUUGUAAAUUUAACAUAUGAACGUAAAAGCUUAACAAAACAUUUGAAGUUGCUUGACAACAUAGAAAUACAUUAUAAAAGAGAUGCUAAACAACACAAAAAUUUGAUUGGGGGGAGUAUUGUUCAUGCUAGCAUAAUAAUGACGUGCCUGAGAAUACCUAAGACUUUCUUGAUAAAUAAUAUCAUUUAAAAGGUUAGGAAUCACAUAUGAUUGUCCACGUAUGAACAAACCUAGCUCAAAAUGUGAAAUGUGUUAAGAUUUUCAAACAUUUAAAUUAAUAAUUAAUAAUUUCAGACAAAGGAUACUUGGAAACCCUAAAGUUCACUGAUUCUAUGUUAUGGCUCAUUGUCUCUCUUGACAAUUUAAUUUCUAGAUUAUUUGGCUCCUAUCUAUUAAAAGACAACACCGUUACUAAAAUUAUAAAUUAUAACAGUUAAACCUAAACCUACGUCGUUUAGCAAUUUACAAAAGAAAAAAUAUAACAAAAGCCAAUUGUUGGAGUAGUAACGUGCCAACGAGAAAACCUCAAGCCAUGUAAUAUCCAGUGUCAACAACUAAAGAAGAACAAACCACCACCCUCAAGGCCGUCGCUGCACUAACGCUGGACCCGAUUUGAAUAGUUAGAAGUUGUAACAUUAAUUAGGGAUUGAGGGUAAAAUUUUGGACUUUGAUUUAAUAAAAUUGAUUUAAAUGAGUCCCAAUAGAAAUAUGAUUAUAAAUAUAUCAAUACAAUUAUAACAUGUGUAAAAGAAAAAAGUUUAUUUUCACACAAAACAAAAAACACAACCCUUGGAUGGGUUGUGUGAUGACUCUUCUGCAAAAAUUAUUUGAUCUCUCACUUUAUGAAGUACGAUUUGUCAGGUUUAAUUAAACCUGUUCCACUCCUUUUAUGUUACCACUUUAUUUUAAAAAUCCCAAAAAAUCUCCUAUCAAGUUUAAUUGCUUCCAGUGGUUUCUUCCUGCUCUGACUUUUGAAUUUCAAAACCAAUCAAAUUUUUUCAACUGUAGGCUUCACGUCUUUUUUUUUUUUUUUGACAACUGGACGUUUUCAUUCAUACUUUAUUCUCUUUCAUUUUGCAAUCCCCAAAAAAAAAAAAACUUUUUCUCUUCCUCUUCCAAUCUCUAACGCCCCCUCAUCUCCCUUUUUUAUUUUUUUUUUAUUUUGUCUUUUGCUUCUUUUUCCUUUGGCUUUAUUUCUCAUUACUUUUUGGCUUCGAAUUUUUCUUCAGCUUCUCAUAUUCUCCUGGGCGCCAUUAUCAUUCCACAAACAGGUAAAAGAAUCUUCAUUUACUUCUCUUUUUCCUUUCUUCUUCAUGGCCCACCAUUAUUCUUUCUUUUCCUUUUUGCUUUUCUCCCUUUUCUCUCCUCUUGGCUGGACUUCUUUUUUUUUUUUUUUUUUCUCGGCUGGACUCCUUCUCCUCUUUUUUUUUUUUCCUUUUUCUUUCCUCUUGGCUGGACUCCUUCUGGCAUGAUUUCCGGCGAGAUUUCUGGCGGUUGCCGCGGCGGUCUCCUGUACCCGAUCCGUCUGGUAUGCGGUCGCGUCUUGCGGCUCCCGGUGGGUUUGGCGCGGUGCUUCUCCGGUUCUCCCCGCACAUUGUUUUCUUUACUUCUUUUUCUUCCUCUCUGCGUUUUCUUUGGCUUUCCUCUUUUUUUUUUUUUUUUUGACUUCCUCUUCUUUGCUUUUUUUUUUUUAUCUCCAGGCUUCUCCCUUUUUUUUUUUGUACGUCCAAGCUCCUUCCUCUUUUUUUUUUUUAUUAUCUCUAACAUGUUUUAUUGUGUCUAUGACAGCCUCUGCACUGCUCCAUCUUUUGAGCAACUUUUGGCGAUUUGUGACUUCUCUUGGCGAUUUAUAGUCUAAAACUUACUUAUUGGCGACUGAAAUUUGCUACUCUCGGUGAGAUAUAGGUAUAAAAUUUUUCAUACCUAUUUUUGACUUCUUUAUUUUGAAGAAUGAUGUUGUGGCUUUGUUUCUGGUUUUCAUGCAAAGUGUUGGCAUUUUCCUUUUUUGUUUAUGCUUUUAUUGGUGGAUGUUGGUGUUUGGCUUGUGAUGGAUGAGGUCUGAAGUUGUGGGGGUAUAUUUUGAUGUGGAGUUUUUCUUUUUCAACUUGUGUCUUGUGUUUUUAGGAGAACAAGAUGGGGAGAAAAACUGUUGGGAAAAAGGGUCGUAAUGUGGUCAGGGAGCCGGGGGAGUCGAGUGAGGAGGCUCCCCUUUCUGAUUCAGCCCCUCAUAUAUCCCUUAGUGACGAUGAUGGGUCCCCUUCGGCUAGUCCCAAGUUAUCUCGAACCAAAACUAGUAAAAAAUUAAAGAUUAAAGGCAAACACCCAGCCAAGUCAGCCCAUAGAAAAACUCGUGCAAAGACAUCCAUACCCAAAUCUCCUAUUCCUGUUAGCAUUCCAGAACCUCCCCUGAUCUCUCCCUCUGUCUCUGUAGCUCCUAAGCUCUAUGCACUAGGGGGUAGGCUGGCUACUCCGAGAGAUUUAGAAAGGGUUAAAGCCAAAUACAACAUACCUCAUUCUGUCCACCUUAGGGUACCUCGCAAGGGCGAGCGCCCCGAGCACCCUCAUUCUGAUGGUGUUGCCCUUCAUACCGACCUUUUUGACUUAGGUCUCCGUUUACCUCUUCAGCCAUUUUUUAGAAAAAUGUUCACUGAGAUGAAAAUUGCUCCCGGACAGUUAUCCUUACCCGGUUGGAGAUUGCUCACGAGUCUGGAGGUUUUGUGGCUAGAUAUUUUUGGGGAGGAUAUUUCUUAUGGAGAUUUGAGGGGGCUUUAUCAGUUGAAGAAGCCCAUUGGUUUAUCCGUAGCCUAUUUUGCUACUUGGGGGGUUCAUGGUAAUUUGGUGAGACCGGAUCCCUUGCUGAAAAAGGGCUACAGAUAUGGGUGGUUUGUGGCUGAGGGCGAGUGGGGGAAGAGCAUUCCAGCGGGGAAUGAAGUUGUGCAAGUUCGAAACUUCUUCAAUGAAGAUAGUAUGUGUUUCUUUUCUCUUCUCUCCCUUUCUAUGUAUAUAUACACCUCUUCGCAUGAAUUUUCUUCUUAUUCGUUGUUUUUUUUUUUUUUUUGGAUUUUUGCAGACAUCACUUGGAUCAAAGGAACGUGCCCAAUCCAUGAAGUGGGGAGGAAAAUGAAUGGUGUUAUAGAGAAGUUCCAUAUUUUGCAGAGUGAGGGUGAUGUUCUGUGCACUUCCCGGUUGGCGAGAGCUGGUCUAAUUAAGGAGAGUUUUCAGUCUUCUUCAGGAGGCGAUUCACGUAUGGCUAUGUGGUGUUGCUGGGGUACCCCGCCUUCAUUGGUUCUGUGGGGUGCCCCCAUUAUUUGAACAAACUUUUUUUUUUUUUUUUAUGCUUUGGUGGCCAUCUCUUAUUUUUUCUUAAUGUGCCUUUUUACCAAUGACGACUCUAUUGUUUAUUUUCCUGAUUUGUCUCUUUGUCUUACCUCUUUUUUUUUUUGUUGGAUAGGCAUGGACCCUUUUGGCGAAGAUUUUGAUGCCUUCUUCAGUCGCAUGAGCGGCAGCUCCUCCGGUACCCUGGGUACCUCCGUAAAAGGUGACCGACCUCCCGUCGUUCCAGGCGGCAAAGGCAAAUUGCCCGUCUCCUCUCUUGGGGGUUCUCGGGGUACCCCGACUACCCACAAGAGAAAGCUUGGCUCUCUUUUCUCAGCUCCUAGAGACCUUAUGGAGGGCGAGCUGGAUCCGGUGGCUAACAAGCGGAUAUCGCACCUGACUGAUUGCUUCCUUCAUUCCUCUGAGAGUAUUUCCACAGACAUGGCAAUGGAGGCGGAUAAAUUAGAUUUAAAUGAGCGCUAUAGCCGAGCGCUCAAAGCUUGUCAUGACGUGAGCGCCUCUCACUCUUUUCUUUUCCUCUUCUUUUUUUUAUAUCGUCCUGACUCCUUUUCAUUUUCUUUAUUAUUAUUUGUGUAGGCGGCUUUCUACCUUAGCCACGGUCUCCGAGACCUUAGUGGUAUCUCGGCUGCACAGACCGAGGUAGAGACACUGCGAGGUGAGGUUAGGCUCGGCCAGUCUCGGGAAGAGAAGCUAGGAGAGGAGGUCAGGGCUUUGCAAAGGUGCUUGGAUGACCACGCCCGGGAGAACAAUCGAUUGUCUAGGAAGUUGGAAGAGGUGGAAUCUAAGCACGGCGAGCUACUAUCUCGCCAACCGGAGAUGAUGGACAAGGCCUUCACUCUUAUCAUGACUGAGGUCUAGAGCGUUGAGCCUGAGUUGGUGGUACCCCGGGUGGAGAAAUGAGUGGACAAGUCGGCCAUCCUGAAAGCGAUAGAGGAUAAAAGGGCUACCCAAGCUCCACCAUCCUAUAGCCCGCAGCAAUCUUCGGGGGUACCCCAGGUGCCCCAGGCACCCCAGGCGGAUCUCCCUUCGGCUAGCGCUAUUCCUAUAGAUAGUAGCUAUUUGGCCGCGAGUGUUCCUAUUGACGCCCCCGUUGAGGGGAACGGUGGGGAGGAUGUCCCCCCUUCUUCUUGACCUUACUUGCUAUUUACAGCUUUAUCUCGAGAUGUCUUAGUGACUUUCUUCCUUUGCUUCUGUACCUUUGUAGUAUGAUAUCAUCCUUUUGAUGUAUUGGGAUACUUGUCUUUUGGAAGGUUGCCUCGGUAAUCUUGCUACUUAUUUGUAUUAAACUUUUGCAAUAGACUUUAUUCGGCUUACCAUUGAAUUCCUUGCUUAUGAUUGAUUUGUGUAGACUCGUGGGGGUUCCUCGGGUACCCCAGGUACCCCCCUGAUGUAUUUUUGGCACUUGCAUGGUGAUUUCCGUAGAUGUGCUCACUGCUCGUCUUAAUAAAGAUCAUGGCGUAUCUCAAAAUGAUUUAAUAAUUUGCACAUUAUCAUAAGAUAAAACAAAAUUCAUAUUUGGCGCAACUAGGAUUAAAUAAAGAUUAUGGCGUAUCUCAAAUAAACUUGUGGAGUUUCUUGGGUAUCCCGGGUACCCUUUUUUUUUUUCGAGGACUUUUUUGGCCCCCUUUCUUGCAUAAAUGGUAAAAAAUAUGCUUAUUUUGCCAUCCGCUUCUAGUCAAUAUUUAAUAAAAUAAUGCGAAUAGAGGGGCAUGCUUGCCUACCUCGUUUCGUUUAUCUAUUCUUUACUUGGCUCAAGCAAAAGAAUGGAGGUGUGGGCGUGUGCAUACCGUAACGGAACCUCAUGGCACUAGGGUAUGCUGGUUUACCUCGCCCUCGGGCCUUCUCUGACCCUCCCUCUUUAAAUUUGUUGUAUUAUUUCUUAUUGGCGUUGACCUCGAACAGAUCUUCACGAUCGAAUCGAGUCAGAUACCUCAGGUUCCCCUAAUUAUCUUGAAAUGGAGUAAUUAUAGUUGAAUAAGACAUGGCGUAAUAAGAGAGAGUCACAUUAAUGGCAAAAAUUUAACCAUAAUCACAUUCGGUAAUCAAAAGGAGAACAUUACAUAAAAUUGACUCAUUGUCCCAAUGAGAAUAGGAAACCAUAUAGAUAUCCACUCUCUAGGACUUAGGGAAUUAAAAAUUUCACUUGCACAUGUGGGGUACCCUAAGUACCUUUCAUGGCUUUACCACAUUGCACACAUAGUAAAGAAAAUAAGAGAUAGAUAAAGUGAACGAUAAGGUUUAAGACACUGUCCUCAUGUUAGUAGUACUUCCUCAGCAUUGCGGCAUUCCAGGGAUGCUUGACGAUUGUUCCAUCCAUGUGGAGUAGUCUGUAUGCCCCUGAACCUACCGGCUUGUCUAUGCGAUAUGAGCCUUCCCAAUUGGCUCCGAAAGAGCCCUCCGAGGGUACCCGGGUAUUCUGAGUUACCCUUCGUAUGACUAAAUUCCCUUUCUUGAAUGAUCUGGGGUGUACCCUCUUGUCAUAUAAAUCUAAAACGCGGUGCUGGUAUAUUGCAACCUUCAAUUCUGCUUUAACCCUUUUUUCUUUAACAAAAUCAAGAUUGGACGCAAUCAAAGAGGCAUUCUCGGCUUCAUCGAAGUAUGCGGUUCUGUGAGAGGGUAUCCCGAUUUCAGCUGGAAUGACUGCAUCAGUCCCGAAAGCCAGAGAAAAUGGGGUUUCCCCAGUUGAAAUAUUCUGAGUUGUCCGAUAGGCCCAAAGAACGCCGGGUAACUCGUCUACCCAAGCUCCAUUUCUUUCCUCCAGCCUCUUCUUUAGGAUACCCUUGAUGAUUUUGUUGAUGGCUUCCACUUGUCCAUUAGAUUGCGGGUGAGCCAGAGAAGCAAAUCGGUUGGCUAUCCCAAGCUCCGAGCAAAAAUUCUGAAAUUUUUCAUUAUCGAAUUGCUUCCUGUUGUCGCUGACAAUUGCAUUAGGGAUACCAUAUCUGCAUAUGAGGUUCCUCCAAACAAAAUCAGUAGUUUUUCUCUCCGUAAUGCUUGCCAACGACUCCGCUUCUACCCACUUUGUAAAAUAGUCAACGGCUACAAUUGUAUACUUAGCUUGUCCUCUACCAGUUGGUAGUGGGCCAAUGAGAUCUAUGCCCCAAACAGCAAAUGGCCACGGAGAAGACAUGACAGUUAACUUUUCUGGUGGAAGGUGGGGUACCUUGGCAAAUCUCUGGCACUUGUCACAACUCUUGACCAUAUUUUUGGCAUCCUCCCGCAUCGUAGGCCAAUAAAAUCCUUGACGAAGGGCCUUCUGUGCCAAUGAUUGUGCUCCAUAGUGGUUACCGCAUAUCCCUUCGUGUAUCUCUCUCAUGACAUAUUCGGCAUGUUCAUUGCUUCAUUCUUGUUUGAGGGCAGAUCCCCACUUCUGAGGUAUCCUAUGAUUGGUUGCAUUCAGGGUACCCCAGCAGUUAUCGACCCUAUUUCUUCUGGCUCAAAUAGAUUAACACUUGGUGUAGGUACGUACUCAGCAGUGAUUGGACCAACCGACUGAGUUGCACCGAAGGAAGCCAUUUUGGCGAGGUUGUCAGCUUCACAAUUUUCUAAUCGUGGAACUCUUUCCACCUUGACCUCAGCAAAUUGAGAUAUUAAUUCUCUUGUUCUCCCGAGGUACCCCUUCAUAUUUUCUUCCUUAGCGUGAUAUUCUGAGUUGAUCUGACCGACCACCAACUGAGAGUCACUCUUGAUGUGGACUCUUUUUGCGCCUAAGGCCUUCGACAUCCUUAGCCCCGCUAUCAUAGCUUCAUACUCGGCUUCGUUGUUUGAGGCCUUGAACCCGAAUUACAAGCCAUAACAUAGCUUCACCUUAUCCGGAUCGAUGAUUAUUACUCCCGCACCGCUUCCGUGCGAGUUGGAGGAACCAUCCACAUAAAUUUCCCAGACAUGCUCUUCUUCAAUAGCUGAUGUAGUUUCGCCCGGGUACCCCGAGAUCUCCUCACCCCCGGAGUCAUUGGCGAAUUCUGCAAUGAAAUCGGUGAUGGCUUGGGCUUUAAUAGCUGAGCGUGGCUUGAAGAUGAUGUCGAACUCACUCAAUUCAAGAGACCAGCGAAGAAGUCUUCCAGACAUGUCUAACUUCUAGAGGAUUUGUCGAAGGGGAAGGUUUGUUACAACGGCAAUGGUGUGGGCCUGAAAAUACGGCCGCAGUUUCCUCGUAGAGAUUACCAAGCCAAAACCAGCUUCUCUGUGGCGGGGUACCUCUUUUCCGCAUCCACCAUUGCCCUACUAGUGUAGUAAAUAGGCCGUUGCACCCCGUCUUCAUCUUCUCUAAGCAACAUUGAGAUAGUGGCGUGCUCAGAAACAACGAGAUACAACAGAAGCACUUCUCCAUGCUUAGGCUUGGCGAGCAAUGGUGAAUUAACGAGAUACUCCUUUAGCUUCUGAAAAGCCUCUUCGCACUCGGCGGUCCAUUGGAGCUUCUUUCCCGCUUUCAAAGCUUUAAAAAAUGGCUUGCACUUGUCGGUGGCCUUGGAGAUGAAACGACUCAAGGCGGCUAUCCGGCCAGCUAAGCUCUGGACUUCCUUAAUGGUACUUGGUGACUUCAUCCCAAGAACCGCCUGGAUUUUAUCGGGAUUAGCCUCAAUUCCCGCUGUUGUACCAUAAAUCCAAGGAAUUUACCCGAAGUCACCCCGAAUGCACAUUUCUUAGGAUUUAGGCGCAUCUGAUGCUUUCUCAAAAUAUUGAAGGUAUAUCUGAGGUGCCCCGAGUGAUCACUGGUGUACACCGACUUUGUUAUCAUAUCAUCGAUGUGCACCUCCAUGGUACGACCGAUUUGUUAUUUGAAGAUCUUGUUCACCAAACGCUGAUAGGUGGCGCCUGCAUUCUUCAAACCAAAAGGCAUAACCUUGUAGCAGUAUAACCCACGGUUGAUGAUGAAGGCCGUUUUAUCUUGAUCAGGCUCGUACAUUGGAAUUUGGUUGUACCCGGAGAAAGCAUCCAUGAAACUAAGCAUCUCGUGCCCAGCAGUAGCAUCGACCAGCUGGUCUACCCGGGGAAGCGGGAAGCUAUCCUUAGGGCAAGACCUGUUUAAAUCCGUGAAAUCUAUACACAUGCGCCAUUUUCCGUUAGACUUCUUAACCAAUACAACAUUUGAGACCCAAUCGGGGUACACCGCCUCCCUAAUAAACCCCGCUGCUAGUAAUCGGUCCACUUCUUGUUCAAUGGCGUCAUAGCGUUCCUGGUUGAAAGCUCGACGUUUUUGCUUGACAGGCCUAUGAUGUGGAUCGACAUUGAGCUUGUGACAGGCGAUAGAAGGCGGGAUACCCGGCAUGUCCGCGUGAGACCAAGCGAACACAUUUAAGUUUUUCCUUAAGAACUCAAUAAGCUGCUCUCGGUGUUAGUCAGAGAGGUUGGAGCCUACCUUGACCAUCUUGGUUGGGUCCUUAUUGCAGAUCAAAACAGACACAAGAUCCUCAGCCGGUGUUCCUCGCUUUUCAUCUUUCGGUACCCGGGGAUCCAGGGGUACAUUGACUUCUCCCAUUGAUGCUGAAUUGGGACUUUGGGGCACCAGUGGUGCCCUGGGAGCUACCACGUCCACUUCCAUUGGCCCAGCUUCAUACGGCGCUUGGGGUACCUGGGAGUUCGUGGACCGUUGAGCUUUCUUACGUGCAACUCUCCGGCGUCUAGCCAGUGCCCGCUUGGAUAGGCUGGUAAAUGAACUUGUGCUGACGGGGUACCCCUCCAGGAACAUAUUGGUGGCGAUUUGGUAGCUUACUUUCGAUGCGAUCGAGUAGCACCCUCGAGCCGAUUGCUGAUCCUCUUUGAUCGUGAUAAUUUCUCCAGCGGUUGGAAUCUUCAUGGCGAGGUAAUGCAUGGAGAUUGCCGCCUUAGUUGUUGCUAAGAAUGGUCUUCCCAAGAUGAUAUUAUAGGCACCUGGGUGAUCCACAAUAAGAAAAUCAAUCAUAUGAACAAUACGGUGAGGUACCUUACCAAGUGUAACGGGCAGCGUAAUGAUGCCCUUUGGGAUAACCAUAUCGCCGGCGAACCCAAUAAGAGGUGUAGCACAUGGGGUGAUCUUUGGCGAUUCAAUCAAUAGUUGAUCCAAGGCGCUUUUGAAAAUGAUAUCAACGGAGCUGCCGGUGUUUACAAGAGUUCUUGCUACCUUACCAGUAGCAACCUUCAACGUUAUUACUAAGGCGUCGUCAUGGGGGUACGAGACAUCUUCAGCAUCUUGCUCUGUGAAAAUGAUAGAUGGGGGAUGGUGGGGUACCCCAGAUACCCUAAGUUGAUUUUGACAAGUGAGGUUCACUUCUUUUCCAGGGCGAUCCAAAAUUGGUGGCUUGCUGUAACGUUUGAUGGCCCGUCUAGAUUCCCCAGCGAGGGUAGGACCCCCUGCUAUCAUUCGAACAUACACGUCUUUCUUAGACCCCUGGGGUAUCUCAGCUUCUGGAUGAGGGUUAGCAACUUGUUUACCAUUAUCUUGCUCCGAGAACUUCAUUGCCUCACGCAUAUCAGCCACAAAUUCCUUGAGAUACCCACUCAGAAUCAAUGACUCAAUUUCUUCCCUCAAGUGAAAGCAUUCGGCGGUGCUAUGGCCGAAAUCUUCAUGAAACUCACAAUACUUCAAGCUACGCUUCAUAUUGGGGUAUUUCCGAAUUAGCUUAGGUGGGCGAAGCAUCCCCGUAUCCCUAAUAUGGUAAAAAAUUUGUUCUGGAGAUUGAUUCAAAUGGUAGAAAGAGUCAUAUCUGGAUUUUUGUGGUGCUUCCCGUUGUUCUGGCGGUAGCGGUGGGCUAUGUACUCGGGGUGCUCGGGAUGGUACCUGAGGUACCCGGGGUACCCGGGGUACACCAGGGAUAUUCAGUCCUCUCCCACGUGGGGUUGGACGAGGUGGGCUGUGUACCCGGGGUGCUCGAGAGGGUACCUGAGGUACCUCGGCUCUCUUGGGUUUCUCCUUGUUUCUCACAACUUCGACUCUGUCUUCCUCUCGCUUUAGGUUACACUUCUCAUCCAUUUCUAUUUGUUGCAGGGCUCGAGAACGAGCUUCCCCAUAUGAAAGAGGGCGGUGUUUUUGAAAUGACCGCCAUAACUUCCCCAAACGCAAAUUCUUUUCAAAAUGAGUGAGAGUAUGUUGGUGACCAAAUGUACCGGUACGCAACACCUCUUGGUGGAAGCGGGUUACGUACUCGGCUAAAGACUCCGAAUCCCCUUGUUUGAUGAAAGCAAGCUUGGAGGAUGUUAUAUCUUGGGCGGAUGCAUAACCAAACUCAUGAACAAAAUCUUUUAGGAGCUGGUCUAGGGAGGAUACACUACCUGCCUUCAACGAUCGAAACCAUGACUUGGCUGGUCCGGUGAGGGUAUGUGGGAACAUCCGGCACAUAGCAUUGUCGUCCACUCCUUUAAUCAUCAUCUGGUCACGAUAUAACUCAGCAUGUUCCACGGGAUCCGAGGUACCCGAGUAUUGUUGUAUUUGAGGCAUGGUGAACGCUUCCGGGAGAACCGCUGUCCGAAUCUCCAUGGUGAAUGGCGAGUUAUGCACUGCUGGCGCUAGAGCAUUGGUGGGGUUUUGUUUUUCAGAAAGGAGCUUCACUUGGGCUUCGAGGUACUCCAUUUUUUCCAGGAACUCGCGGGGUACCCCAGGUGCACCUGAGGAGGCCGUUGUUGUCGUUCAACUUGUACCGGAGAUCUUCAUGGGCUUUUUGUUUGCGUUUGGUACCCUGGCUACUACGGGAAUAACAAGAGGCAGUAGAGCGUUCUUCCCGGGAGCCGGCGGCUUGACACUUUGAACGGGUGCCCGAUGGCCCAUGCUUUGGUCUACUUCCCUCCGGUAUUUCAAAUCUUGGUAUGAUCUGUUUCUCACCUCGUGGAGGCUGGACAUCUUGAGUUACCGGAGAAGUAGCUGCUUCGGGUACCCGAGAUCCUACUGCUCUGAGAAUCGCAUGAGCUAAAUCCUCAGUGUUUAUGAGUGACGGGCUCCUCGUCAGGUUGAAUACCAGCUGAUUGCUUAACUGAUUUGCCUUUCUCUAGGCGGGAUGCCCUUCUUGUCGAGUCACCCCUCUCAUCACCGCCGUGGUCCUCUGCUCCAUCAUGACCUAGCAUUUGGUUAUCAGCGGGUACGUCAGGUGCCAUGGUUUUGUAAGCACACGUACCGACAAGCUUAGCACCGUGUGGAGGCUUUUUGCGCGCUCCCCACAGACGGCGCUAAUUGUUUGUGGCUGAUUUUGGGUCAAUGAAUAAAAAACCACAAAACCAACCCAAGAGCAAUAAAUUUAUAUUUUGUCGGGGAGCGGGGUACCUCGCUUAUUCGGCACGUACGGGCUAUUUAGGCUUUUUGUGGAGUGAAGGAGGAUUGAGCCGACGGUGGUUAUGGAGGGGAUCUGACUUCAGGUGCGGAGGGCUGGUGCAACUCGCCUUAAACCUGCGAAACAACCAAAAAAGAGGUCAGAGAUGGAGCCGGGGGUGGCCGGCGACCACACUCCGACGCUCAAGUCAGAGUUGGGUUAUCUUAGGUUAGAGAGCUUGCAAGCUCUCGGUAAUAGAGGUUUUGAGGUUGAAGAAACCCUAGUUUUUUCUGGUGAGUGUGUUUCCUCCCUUGAUAAAAAUCAAACCUGAGUAUUUAUAUGGUGUACCCCAGUCGCCGUGCCACCUGGCGCUAUUUUAGUGGCGUUCCCUGUUGUCAUGUCAGGAAUAUUCUUAUUUUUAUGCGUAAGGUGGCUUAGACGUUUCAAAAAUAUCAGUGGAGAGCAAGUUUGUGGCGUAUUCACGUGCUGGGCGUAGUGGAGUGGUCCCGCGUACCUCUGCAAUUCCGUUGUAAUUUUGUAGGUGUAGCAGGAAAAGCUGGUGGUCCCAACUGUCACAAUAUCACACUUUUGGCGGAUUCGCUGGCGUGACAGGCGGCAGUCUUCUCUUUUGCGGCACAAGAUUUCCUUAUUUUUCGACACGUAUCAAACCGAUCUUUUUUAGAUUCAGGGCCCACAUAUCCCUUCACAUAUUUACUAAGAUUUUUAUAUCCUUUCAUGGUGUACCCGAGGUACCCCCGAAGUCCUUAGAGUAGCCGGGGUACCUAGAGUACCCGAGGUACCCGAGACAAAUUAAUCUCUUAAAUAUCGACACGUGGCGCUUCAUCAUUGGUCUCAUAUUUCCUUCCCAAACAACCACCUUGUUGCUAAAUGGACUCGCCCAUCCCCCGUGGAGCUUCACUUCAGCCAUGUGUCUGAGAUCGAAUUUGAAUAUGUUUGUGGUUGUUUUGCUUAGCUGAUGAGUUAUUGCAUACGUACAUCUGAGUUUGAGCAGGGAGCUUCAUAUUUCCAAUUUAUUUAAUAAAAUGAUUAAAUUAAGUUGAAUUCAAUGAGCUAAUGCUGCGACUUUUUAACAAUUCUGUUAUAUAUUGAUGAGCAUAAUUUAUAUACAUAUUUUACCCUUAAUUAUAUAAUUACUAAUUAUUUUUAUUUGUUAUUUUUAAUUAAUUAAAUUAUUUUAUUGAAUAGGGGAUUAAUUGAAGAUUAUGGAUAAAAAAGGAUAUAAGGGAGCUCAAUUUUGGAAGCGUUAAUUAAUUGAUUUUAGAAGCAAUUAGACAUACAUGCAUGUGGAAGUGAAGCCGAGGAAACCGAAGCUAGUAAAUUAAUUGAUCUAGCACAUGAAGAAGAAUUUAAGCAUAACAUUGGCUUUAGCUUAGUUAAGUUACACGUGCAUGGCUUUGUAAUAUUUGGAAAGCAAUUUAAAUGGGACCCGCACUUGGCUUUCAUAAUUGGAAAAGGAAUCCUAAAGCAAUUCCAAAGGUGGUCACGUGUGAGAGCUAAAGGAAAUAAAAGGGCAAGCCUUUUGGUUUUAGGAUUUAAGAGAUGGGGCCCAUUUCAAAGAUUAUAAAAGGGAGUUUUGGCUUUUGGAGAAGGAGGCGGCCAGAGGACAGAAACAAAAGGCUGGAAGAGAGCAAUCGGCAGCAGCAAUAUUUCGGCUUCCCCAUGGCUGAAUUUAUUUAUUUUGUUGCUCCCAAUUCAAGUAUGUCUAGCUAAUUUUCUUAUACUGAGGUUAAGGAUGAAACCCUAUUCAAUGAAAUAAUUAUCUUUUUAUUUAAUUAAUUCCCUAUAUAUGUUCUUUGAUGAUUAUGGUUUUUAUUUCACAUGAUUAAUUGGAUGUUAAUAAAAUCUUUUCAUCAAUUCUGGCGUGCAUUAUUGAUUGUUAUGAUUAAUAUUCGAUUAAUUCUAUGCUUGGAUCUAUAAAGUUUAUACAUGAUUAUCUUUGAUUGUAUGUCUUUCAUUAAAUUGUUUAAAUGGAGUGCUUAGGAAACUUUGACUCUUUGUUAUUCAAUAUGUUUACAUGGGAUGCUUAGAUGUCAUAUUAUUAAGCAGAAAAAGAACCUACAUAAGAUUAAUUUUAUUUGGGCUUAAUUGUUAUAUCCAUGAGAUGACAUAGAUUGAUUUCGAGUUGUCACUCUAAAAUUGAGGAUUAAUUAAUAAUUAGAUAAUUACUAGUUGAAUAGUGGUGGAUUCUGAAACCUUGGUAAUUCUUAUCUCAUUAAAUUCUCCUUUAUUUUAAUUUCCUUAGUUUAAUUGGUUUAAUUUUCUUAAAAAUUCAAUUUGCUCAACUAGGUUAGAAUUAAUAUUAAAUUUUAGAUUUAAAUUAGACUUUUUAAUUUAUAACAAUCCCUGUGGGAUCGACCUCGUUACCACUAUUCUAUUUCUAGAUUCGUGCGCUUGCGAGUAUAUUAAAAUUUUCACAACAAGUUUUUGGCGCCGUUGCCGGGGAUUGUGCUAGAAAGUCAGUUUAAUCUAGGUUGAUUUGAUUCUUCCACUAGUUAUAAUUUAGGUUGUCUUUUAUUUUUUUUAAUUAAAAAAAAAAACAACAACACAAAAAAAAAAACUUUUAUUUGUCUUUAAAUUCAUUGUUUAGUUGUUUGAUUUCUUUUAUUUUUAAAUUUCGUUUAUUCUCAUUUUUGUUGGUUUAUUUUAUUUUAUUUUUUUUUCUUUCCUUGUCUAGUUAGUUUAUGAGUGUUUGGGAACGUGAUUCAACAAAUCGUUUGGUUAAAAGAGAGUCGAAAAUUGAUAGUAGUCAAGCUAGUUCUUUAGAAGUGAUGGAUGACCCAAAUAGAUUAUUACCAAUACUUCCACCAGUGCAAGCAGAGAAAACCCUUAGAGAAUACUUUUCACCACUUGCAGCCAACCAACCAUCUUGUAUUGUGUUGCCACAAACUACAGCAACACACUUUGAACUUAAGCCCUCAGUCAUUCAACUUUUACCAUCUUUCCAUGGGUUAGAGAGAGAGGAUCCAUAUUUGCACAUUAAGGAAUUUCUUGACAUAUGCUCUACAUUUCGUUUUCAAAAUUUUAACGAUGAGUCAAUUAGGAUUCGUAUGUUCCCUUUCUCAUUAAAAGACAAAGCAAAAGCUUGGUUGAAUUCACUUCCUGCUGGGUCUAUUAGUACAUGGGAUGAAUUGAGUAAUAAGUUUCUCACCAAGUUUUUCCCUAUGUCUAAAACAAAUGCCCUUAGGAGAGAGAUAAGUGAUUUUUAUCAAAGAGAGAGUGAGCAAUUUUACGAGUGUUGGGAAAGAUUCAAUGAUUUACUCCUCAAGUGUCCCCACCAUGGUUUUGAAAAAUGGAGACUUAUACAAUGCUUUUAUAAUGGCUUAACCAUGUCAAAUCGUCAUAUGGUAGAGUCUAUGAAUGGUGGGAGAUUUUUGAACUUACAUGAAGGGGCAGCAUGGGAUUUCUUUAAUUCACUUUCUGAAAAUUCUCAACAGUGGGAUUUUUCAAAUCAAAGGGAAAAAUCAUCUCAAGUUUCUAGAAAGGGGCUAUAUGAAGUUAAGGAUGAUUUAGAUAUGAAAUCCACUCUAGCUACACUUUCUAGGAAAGUAGAUGCCUUAGUUAUGAACCAAUCCAUAAAUCAUCAUCCCAGUGUAGCUAAUGAGGUUUGUGCUAUUUGUUCUAACUUGUCUCAUACAGCACAAAAUUGUCCAUCAUUACCAGUCUAUCCAGAUGCUUAUUCUGAGCAGGUACAUGCCUUACAAUCAUAUGAGAAAACCUCCAAUAGUCCAUAUUCAUCCACAUAUAAUCCUAAUUGGAGGAAUCACCCUAAUUUUUCUUGGAAACAAAAUCAACCUUUGUCAAACCAAGGAGGGCAACAAUUUAACAUGCCCAACCAACAAUUUGUCCCUCCUAACCAAGUAUAUCCUCAUGCCCAACAACCUAUGUCUCAAUUUGUUGCACCCCAACAAAGAAAGCCUUCUUUAGAGGAUACACUUCAAAGUUUCAUUCAGUCAACCCAACAAGCUUUUCAAUCAAAUACUCAAGCUAUUCUGAAGCUUGAACAUCAAUUGGGUCAAUUAGCAACUACUGUAGCGGAGAGAGAAAAAGGAAAAUUCCCAAGUCAACCAAUUCCCAAUCCUAAAGGAGUGCAUGAAGUUGGAUCGAGUUCAAGCCAUCUGCAUGAAGAAGCAAAAUCUGUUAUGACCUUGAGAAAAGGAAAAUUAUUUGACAACAAAGUGGAGGUUCCAACAAGGAAGAUAUCUGAGCCUACUUCUUCAGAUCCAGUUCCAUCACAAGAGUCGUCAACAAAUGAUCCAGAAGAGAGUGGCCCGCCAGCUUACAUUCCUAAGGCUCCUUUUCCUCAAAGGUUAGCAAAGGUAAAGAAAGGGACUUCAACAGGUGAGAUUAUGGAAAUCUUCAAGCAAGUAAGUAUAAUUAUCCCUUUACUCGAUGCUAUUAAGCAAGUUCCUUCCUAUGCCAAGUUUUUGAAAGAUUUAUGCACUAAAAAGAGAAAUUUGCAUGUCACUAAAAAGGCGUUUUUAACUGAACAAACUAGCAACUUACUCCAAUGUAAAAUGCCACCAAAAUUUAAGGAUCCUGGUUCUCCUACUAUCUCAUGUGUUAUAGGGAACCAAUGUUUUGAUAAAGCAUUAUUGGAUUUGGGUGCUAGUGUUAAUCUCUUGCCUUAUUCUGUUUACAUGCAACUUGGAUUAGGUGAGUUAAAAUCAACUCCUAUUAUUUUGCAACUUGCUGAUAGAUCAAUGAAAAUACCUCGUGGUAUUAUAGAGGAUGUGUUGAUACAGAUUGAUAAAUUUUAUUAUCCUGUUGAUUUUAUUGUUAUUGAUACUCAGCAUGUACAUGAUCCUAAGAAACACACCCUAGUUAUUCUAGGUCGUCCUUUCUUAGCUACAGCUGAUGCUCUUAUUAAUUGCAGGAAUGGAAAUAUGCAGCUAUCUUUUGGUAAUAUGACCAUGGAAUUGAAUAUUUUUAAUGUUACCAAGCAGCCACAAGAAGAAGAUGAAUUUGUUGAAGCAAAUAUGAUAGAGGAAUUAGUAGAAGAUUCAUUCAUUUCUAACCAUACUGAUGAUCCAUUAGAGGCAUGUCUAACUCAUCCUGAUUUAUCUUUUAAUGAUGACAGUGCAAUUGCAGAAGUCAGCGCUUUACUUGAUGCACCUCUAAUUACGGACACAACUAAAUGGAAGGCAAAGUCAGAAUUACUGCCUCAUUCUGAGAAGAAAAUUGGCCCAUCUGCGGAGGCACCACCAAAAUUGGAACUCAAAGCACUGCCCGACACUUUGGAAUAUGCAUUCUUGGGAGAAUCUGACACUCUACCUGUUAUUAUUUCUUCUUCCCUCGAUCUUGAGCAAAAAGGUAAGUUGUUAGGUAUUCUAAAAGAGCAUAAGGAGGCAAUAGGAUGGACCAUCGCUGAUAUUAAAGGUAUUAAUCCAGUAGAUUGCAUGCAUCGUAUUCAUCUUGAAGAAAAUGCCAAACCUAUUAGGGAGAUGCAACGUAGGCUAAAUCCUAACAUGAAAGAAGUGGUAAGAGCUGAAGUAAUCAAAUUAUUAGAUGUAGGAAUUAUUUAUCCUAUUUCAGAUAGCUCUUGGGUUAGCCCUGUGCAAGUUGUUCCUAAGAAAUCUGGUGUUACAGUAGUUACUAAUGCUAAUAAUGAAUUAAUUCCCACUAGAGUAACUACAGGUUGGCGUGUUUGCAUUGAUUAUAGAAAAUUGAAUUCAUUCACAAGAAAAGAUCAUUUUCCUCUUCCAUUUAUUGAUCAAAUGCUUGAUAGACUUGCAGGUCAUGAUUUUUAUUGUUUUCUAGAUGGAUAUUCAGGUUAUAAUCAGAUCCCUAUAGCUCCAGAGGACCAGGAGAAAACUACUUUUACUUGUCCCUUUGGAACUUUUACAUAUAGGAGAAUGCCAUUUGGUUUAUGCAAUGCACCUGCUACCUUUCAAAGAUGCAUGCUUAGUAUUUUUUCUGAUAUGGUUGAGAGAUUUCUUGAAGUAUUCAUGGAUGAUUUUUCUGUUUUUGGAGAUUCUUUUGAUGAAUGUUUGCAGCAUCUAACAUUAGUUUUGCAGCGAUGUAAAGAAAAGAAUUUGGUUCUAAAUUGGGAAAAGUGUCACUUCAUGGUAAAACAAGGUAUUGUUCUUGGUCAUAUAAUUUCCAGCAAAGGUAUAGAAGUCGACAAAGCUAAGCUGGAUUUAAUUUCUAAUCUUCCACAUCCCAAAUCCGUAAAAGAAGUAAGAUCUUUCCUUGGACAUGCUGGUUUUUAUAGAAGAUUCAUUAAAGAUUUUAGUAAAAUUUCUAGACCCUUAUGCAAUUUACUUGUUAAGGAUGUACCUUUUAUCUUUGAUGAAUCUUGUCUUGAUGCUUUUGCAAAGCUUAAGAAAUUAUUGACUUCUUCACCUAUCAUUCAGGCACCUAAUUGGGAUUUGCCUUUUCAAAUUAUGUGUGAUGCAUCUGAUUAUGCAGUAGGAGCAGUUUUAGGACAAAGAUUAGAUCGUGUGCCUUAUGUGAUUUAUUAUGCUAGUAUGACACUCAAUGAUGCACAGUUGAACUAUUCAACUACAGAAAAAGAAAUGCUAGCUGUGGUAUUUGCACUUGAUAAAUUCAGAUCUUAUCUUAUAGGUUGUAAAGUGAUUAUUUUUACUGAUCAUGCUGCUUUAAAAUAUUUGUUUACUAAGAAAGAUGCUAAGGCAAGAUUGAUUCGUUGGGUGUUGCUUUUACAAGAAUUUGACAUUGAAUUUAGAGAUAAAAAAGGUUCUGAAAAUGUUGUGGCGGAUCAUUUAUCUCGCCUUGAUCUUAAAUUUAUUCCAGAAUCUUUACCUUUGAAUGAGUCUUUCCCAGAUGAGCAACUUAUGAGUGUAAAUGUUGUACCAUGGUUUGCUGAUAUAGUUAAUUACCUUGCUACAGGUCAAAUCCCAGAGCACUGGACUAAGCAAGAUAGAACAAAGUUCUUAUCUAAAGCGAAAGACUUCUUUUGGGAUGAUCCCUAUUUAUUUAAAUAUUGUGCUGAUCAGAUUAUUAGGCGAUGUGUUCCCGAUAAUGAAAUUCAAAGUGUUAUCUCAUUUUGCCAUGAACAAGCUUGCGGAGGCCACUUUAGUGCUAAAAAGACAGCAACAAAAAUUUUACAGUGUGGUUUUUAUUGGCCUACUCUUUUUCAUGACGCUUAUGUUUUCUGUUCUUUGUGUGAUAGGUGCCAACGUAUGGGUAGCAUUUCAAAGAGGAACAUGAUGCCACUCAAUCCUAUUCUUGUGGUUGAGAUCUUCGAUGUAUGGGGUAUUGAUUUCAUGGGACCUUUCCCUCCAUCUUUUGGUUAUCAAUAUAUAUUGGUUGCAGUGGACUAUGUGUCGAAGUGGGUUGAAGCUAUUCCAUGCAAAACCAAUGAUCAUAGGGUUGUAGUGAAAUUCUUGAAGAGUAAUAUUCUGUCUCGUUUUGGUUUUCCUAGAACAAUCAUUAGUGAUGGUGGUACCCAUUUUUGUAAUAAACCUUUCAAAACUCUUUUGGACAAAUAUUCCAUUACACAUAAGGUUGCCACCCCAUAUCAUCCUCAAACCAGUGGCCAAGUAGAGAUUUCUAAUAGAGAGAUCAAGCAGAUUCUAGAGAAAACAGUUAGGCCAGAUAGAAAGGAUUGGUCUUUGAGACUUGAUGAUGCAUUGUGGGCAUAUAGAACUGCUUUUAAAACACCAAUUGGGAUGUCACCUUAUCGACUUGUGUAUGGAAAAGCAUGUCAUCUGCCAGUAGAGUUGGAGCAUCGUGCAUAUUGGGCUAUCAAGAAAUUCAAUUUUGACAUGCAGCAAGCUGGGUCCAAGAGAAGAUUACAACUAGCAGAACUUGAAGAGAUCAGGAAUGAUGCAUAUGAGAAUGCCAAGAUUUAUAAACAGCGAAUGAAAGUCUUUCAUGACAAACAUAUUUUGAGAAAAGCCUUUACACCAGGUCAGAAAGUACUUUUAUAUAAUUCCCGAUUGCAUCUCUUUCCAGGUAAGUUACGUUCUCGAUGGUCUGGUCCUUUUAUAGUUCGUACUAUCUUCCCUUAUGGAGCAAUUGAAAUUGAAAAUCCUAAAAAUGGUGAUUUAUUUAAGGUGAAUGGUCAAAGAUUAAAACCAUUUUUAGAAUUAAAAACACCAGAAGUUGAGGAGAUACUUUUAGAUGAUCCUGUUUAUCAGGAUUAAUUAAGUUCAUCUUUACACUCUUGUUUUAUUUUAAUAGUCGGUUUUCUUUUCUUUAUUUAUUUUCUUUUCUAAUAUAUAUAUAUAUUUUAAUGUUUUCUUUUCAUUUGGCAUUUUCUUUUAAGCUUUCCCAGCCCAUCCAGGUGUGUUCUCUCCAACUUUCUUUUUAUUAUUUAUGUUUAUUAUUAUUAUUAUUAUGAUUAUUAUUAUUAUUUCUCUUUCAUUUGUUUGCAUGCAUAUCUUUUGUUUAUGAAACAUUGAGGACAAUGUUCCGAAUAAGUUUGGGGGUGGGAAUAGUGUGUGCUUUGUUUGUUAUUAAAAAAAUAAAAAAUUAAAAAAAAAAUUUCGUGAAAAGCCAAUGAUAAGAACUUGAUUGACAAUGAAUAUAGUUUUUAGAAAGGGUUGAAUAUUGUCUUAGUUUAUACUUGAUUCUUGUGUUAGUUCCUCUUGAUUGAGAUUCUUUAAACCAUGAGCACUAAUAUCAGUUCUUUCAUAAUUUUAACUUGAAAUUUGAGAUUGACGCAGCCUGAGUUGAAAAUUUUAGAUAGAGUAAAUGACUGUUUGUCUUGAUUCUUAUCUCCACAAUACAAAAUAGUAUACACGGGCGCCAAAGUCAGAAAUAGCUACCUAUAACCCUUAAGAGUGAAGCUAUCCUUGAGUAAUUUGGGCCUAUGUACCACAAGUAUGUAGAGGAUAAUCUACCAUGAGAAGAAGGCUACCUUAAGGGGUAGAGUGAAAGCUCCUGACUAUGGUUAAAAAAAAAAAAAAAAAAAAAAAAAAGAGAAAAAGAAAAAAAAAUCAAAUCAAGUGCAUGUGCUGAAAAAAAAAAUCAAAGGAAAGUGCACAUAAAAGCCUGUGAGAGAAAAAAAAAAUUUUGGAGAUCAAGAUGAUAAGAUUAGUUUGACCUACUCUGUUCUUUGUUUGAGGCGAAGGCUGUUGAUGUUGAAGAUUUUGGGAAUGGAUUUGAUUGAAUUGAUUUCACACACACACUACAAGAAUCGAAAGAGAGAUGGGAUUGAUUAUUGAAUUAAAGUUAGAACUUUGCCAAUAUUUGAAAUUUUCUUUGAGCUAUAUAAUUUUUGCAAUCUUUGAGGCUAUUUUGCAUGUUUUAUUUAAAGUUUUUCGUUCUUUUGAUUUAAUUUAAUUUAUUAUUAUUAUUAUUAUUUUUAUUUUUUUUUUUAAAUGAUGUUUGUGGGUAUCAUCACUGAAGCCCUCACGAGACUAUAACUCGUCCACUAGGGCCGCCUAGGGGUUUAAAGGCUUGUUGCAUACGCUAAAUGCAAUCGCGAUUACCUGCGAAAGUGGUUUAGUUCGGAUUUACUUUUUGUUUCAUUAUUUUUAUUUUUUUUUUAUUUUUUUUUUGUUUUAGUUUUGCUCGAGGACUAGCAAAAUCUAAGUUUGGGGGUAUUUGAUGAGCAUAAUUUAUAUACAUAUUUUACCCUUAAUUAUAUAAUUACUAAUUAUUUUUAUUUGUUAUUUUUAAUUAAUUAAAUUAUUUUAUUGAAUAGGGGAUUAAUUGAAGAUUAUGGAUAAAAAAGGAUAUAAGGGAGCUCAAUUUUGGAAGCGUUAAUUAAUUGAUUUUAGAAGCAAUUAGACAUACAUGCAUGUGGAAGUGAAGCCGAGGAAACCGAAGCUAGUAAAUUAAUUGAUCUAGCACAUGAAGAAGAAUUUAAGCAUAACAUUGGCUUUAGCUUAGUUAAGUUACACGUGCAUGGCUUUGUAAUAUUUGGAAAGCAAUUUAAAUGGGACCCGCACUUGGCUUUCAUAAUUGGAAAAGGAAUCCUAAAGCAAUUCCAAAGGUGGUCACGUGUGAGAGCUAAAGGAAAUAAAAGGGCAAGCCUUUUGGUUUUAGGAUUUAAGAGAUGAGGCCCAUUUCAAAGAUUAUAAAAGGGAGUUUUGGCUUUUGGAGAAGGAGGCGGCCAGAGGACAGAAACAAAAGGCUGGAAGAGAGCAAUCGGCAGCAGCAAUAUUUCGGCUUCCCCAUGGCUGAAUUUAUUUAUUUUGUUGCUCCCAAUUCAAGUAUGUCUAGCUAAUUUUCUUAUACUGAGGUUAAGGAUGAAACCCUAUUCAAUGAAAUAAUUAUCUUUUUAUUUAAUUAAUUCCCUAUAUAUGUUCUUUGAUGAUUAUGGUUUUUAUUUCACAUGAUUAAUUGGAUGUUAAUAAAAUCUUUUCAUCAAUUCUGGCGUGCAUUAUUGAUUGUUAGGAUUAAUAUUCGAUUAAUUCUAUGCUUGGAUCUAUAAAGUUUAUACAUGAUUAUCUUUGAUUUUAUGUCUUUCAUUAAAUUGUUUACAUGGAGUGCUUAGGAAACUUUGACUCUUUGUUAUUCAAUAUGUUUACAUGGGAUGCUUAGAUGUCAUAUUAUUAAGCAGAAAAAGAACCUAUAUAAGAUUAAUUUUAUUUGGGCUUAAUUGUUAUAUCCAUGAGAUGACAUAGAUUGAUUUCGAGUUGUCACUCUAAAAUUGAGGAUUAAUUAAUAAUUAGAUAAUUACUAGUUGAAUAGUGGUGGAUUCUGAAACCUUGGUAAUUCUUAUCUCAUUAAAUUCUCCUUUAUUUUAAUUUCCUUAGUUUAAUUGGUUUAAUUUUCUUAAAAAUUCAAUUUGCUCAACUAGGUUAGAAUUAAUAUUAAUUUUAGAUUUAAAUUAGACUUUUUAAUUUAUAACAAUCCCUGUGGGAUCGACCUCGUUACCACUAUUCUAUUUCUAGAUUCGUGCGCUUGCGAGUAUAUUAAAAUUUUCACAACAUAUAUUCAACGAGAAGAGGUAUCGUAUUUGACGGGAAUCUCUUGAAACAGUGCUGAAUUAACAAGUAAUCUUAUUUAAUUUGGUCAACUGGUCAGAUAUGGAUUAAUUAUAUAUUUGGCGUUUGUGCUUUUGACUUUACGAUGGGGUGGAGUCGUGGGGAUAUCAUCAUCCCAACUGAAGACAUAUUAUGAUAUUCUCCUGAAAACCUUGUGAGACUCAUUUACUCUACAAUUUUAGCAUUUUAGGCCCAAUAACUCCAUAUAAAUGACGUUUUGUUCCCUGGCUCCACCUCUUCUAUAUAAAUCCGAACACCUGAAAAAUGACGAGACGGGAACAACUCUCCGUCUUAAGUCUAUGUAAAUUUUACACACAAGAGAAAGAGAGGGAGAGGGGUGGCCAUGAGAGACAACGAUACAGAAAAGAAUAUGGAAAAGAGUUUAUUAAUACCAAAAGAGAGUUUAUCAUCAACAUCCACAACAUGGGAUUUGUUGAGUGGAGAACUGAAAAAGCAGGGUUACAUAGCAGCACCAAUGGUGGCAGUAACUUUAUCACAGUAUUUGCUUCAAGUUGUUUCCAUGAUGAUGGUUGGUCAUCUUGGUCAACUUGCUCUUUCUAGCACCGCCAUGGCCAUCUCUCUAGCUAGCGUCACCGGCUUCAGCGUCCUUGUGAGUCCUACAAUCCAUAUAUAGUUAUAUACACAAGAUUGUUUAUUCUUUCUUUUGAUAGGUAUUUGCAUCAUUGCAUGUGGGAUUUAAACAAAUAGAUAUGCCAAAUUUCUGAUGUUAAAAAACAUGCAAUUAACUAAUACCCUGUUUGUAAAAAUGCCAUUAAUUUUUAAAGGACUUGAUUUGCUCUUUUUUUUAAAAAAAAAAAAUUCUACAGCUAACUUGAAUUGUGUAAUAGUUUCUUUGAAACAGUUAGGAAUGGCGAGUGCUCUGGAAACAUUAUGUGGGCAAGCAUAUGGAGCUCAGCAAUAUCAAAGAAUUGGAACUCAAAUUUACACUGCAAUAUUUUGUUUAUUCUUAGCAUGUUUUCCGCUUUCCUUUCUAGGGAUUUACAUGGGAAGGCUGCUAGUUUUGGUAGGCCAAGACCCCCAGAUUUCACACGAAGUAGGCAAGUUUAUAAUCUGGCUUCUUCCAGCUCUGUUUGCUUAUGCAGCAAUGCAAGCGCUUAUUCGAUAUUUUCAGUCUCAAAGUUUGAUCAUUCCCAUGUUCUUAAGCUCCUAUGCCGCUCUUUGUUUGCAUAUUCCCAGCUGUUGGGCUUUGGUAUUCAAGUCUGGACUGGGAAACCUUGGAGGAGCAUUGGCAAUUGGUAUAUCGUAUUGGUUGAAUGUAACUUUCUUGGCAAUUUACAUGAAGUUCUCCACUGCUUGUGCAGAAUCCAGGGCUCCAAUUUCAAUGGAGUUAUUCCGAGGAAUUGGAGAGUUCUUCCACUUUGCUAUCCCUUCUGCAGUAAUGGUUUGGUAUGUUAAUUAUCUUCUGGAGUUUCAUUUUCCCUUCUCAUAGAUAUCGUAGACACGUCAUAAAUUUUCAUGCAUCUUCUUUCGUUUAUAAUUUUGCAACCUAGAAUGGUGGUCAUUUGAAUUGCUCAUUUUAAUGUCAGGGCUGUUGCCUAACCCACAGCUUGAAACUUCAGUCCUAUCUGUAUGGUAUGUUAACAUAGACUUUGUAUGUGAAAGUUCUAUGCAGAGAAGCACCUACCAAAGGAAAUAGAUUUUUUUUUCUUUUUUUCUUUUUUUUCCCGACUGCUCAUUAUUUGUCAACUUCUUUGGGCAGUCUCAGUACUAUUCAAACCCUCUCUGCAAUCCCAUAUGGACUUGGUGCUGCAGUGAGGUUUGUUCAUAACAAUCAUUUAAAUAAUAAUUGUUUUAUAUCUGUUACAAAAUCAUUGUAAUCCAUCUCCUAUAAUUCCUCUUCUCUGUAUAUUUUAGUUCUAUUUGUAUACGUUACUAGUUGUACACGAUAGACUAGAAUAUUUUGUAAUCCUAGAUUAGAAGUCUGCACUAUUUAACUCCCACGAGUUGGAAUAAAAGAAUUGAGCUGAGUAUUUCCUUUGAAUCUUAUUUCCUCUGUACCAUUGUUUUCUACUUGGUAUCAGAGCUUUGCUCUUAUUAUCGUAUCCGAAUUCUCAUCUGUUCUUUGUACCAUGGCCGAAAGUAAAUCUGAAUCGUCUACACCAAUCAUACAUGUUCAAUAUGAAAACUCAGGCCUCAAAGCUGGUGUUACUCUUACUGAAACUAACUAUGAUGUGUGGUCCCAAAUCAUGGAGAUGCACAUUGCAGGACGUGAAAAACUUGAAUAUAUUAUGGGUGAAACAGAUCAACCAUUGGAGACUGAUGCUUUCUAUACAAAGUGGUAUGCAGAAAAUCAAAAAGUCAAGGGAUGGUUACUGACAUCCAUGUCACCUGAAAUCAUGAAACGUUAUCUCAGAUUACGCACCGCAAGGGAAAUAUGGAAUGCUUUGGCUAAAGCUUUCUACGAUGGGUCAGAUGAAUCACAAAUCUUUGCACUAAAUCAACGAGCUUUCUCUACUAAACAGGUUGGACGUCCCCUAUCAACAUAUUAUGGUGAUCUUGUAGAGAUUUUUCAAGAGCUAGAUUAUCGUGAUAAGGUCAUAAUGAAAGACCCCGAUGAUGUCACUGCAUAUAAAAAAUCAGUUGAACGCUUGAGAGUGUACAUCUUCCUUAAUGGACUAGAUGCAGAAUUUGAACAACUCAGAGGAGAGAUCCUCAGGAAGGAUCCGGCACUAGACUUUGAAGAAACAUAUGCAUAUGUGCGGCGUGAUGCUAUGCGGAGGACAACAGUAAAUGAAGAACUUGAUCAUCAUGAGUCAUCUACCCUGAUAGCUCGUCGAAACAAACAGGGGCGUAAUAACCAACAACUAAAUUCUAGCUCUUCAAAACAGAUUAUUGAUCAACAUCAAUCAUCUGAAACGCAAAAUCGUAGCUAUGAAAUUGGAACGUCAAAAUUAGAGCGUCUGUGCACGUAUUGUGGUGGAACUAGACAUACCAAGUCAAGGUGUUAUGAACUGAUUGGGUAUCCGGAAUGGUGGGAUCCUACUAAAGCACCCAAACGGAACUCAAAGACAAAAAAUCAAGCUUCUCCUGCUGUGGUUAAAUCUUCGAACAACCCUGAGGAAUCUUCAUCUUUAAUUGCUACUUCAGGUAAUAUUGGUAAGACUCUUAAUACCUCUACACCUGAUAGUAAUAGUGCUUGGAUAAUUGAUUCAGGUGUUACGGAUCACAUGACUUUUGACACUGAUCAUAUUUUGUCUAUGAAAUCAUCCAAACAAACUGUAGUAUCCACAACCAAUGGUACUCCCUCUCCUGUCAUGGGAGAAGGUUCAAUUACUCUUACAAAAAAUUUGAAUUUGGAAUCAGUUCUUGUUGUUCCCUCUCUUAACUAUAACCUAUUAUUUGUUGCUCAAAUAACACGUGUUUUGCAUUGUAUUGUGAUUUUUUGGCCUAACCUUUGUGUUUUUAAGGACAUCCGAACUCGAAGGACAAUUGGUUAUGGUACUAGAAAGGGGAAGCUCUAUUAUCUUGAUUUGACUACAGCAAGUUCAGAUCAAUUAUCUCAAGCAUUCACAACUGAAAGAUCGGGCAAAGCACAAAGUUCUGAAAUUUGGUUGUGGCAUAGGCGAUUAGGCCAUGCUUCUUUUGGAUAUUUAAAAAAAUUAUUUCCAAAGUUGUUCUCCCAUUUGGCUAAUUCAAAUUUUAAGUGUGAUAUUUGUGAAAUGGCUAAGAGUCACCGUGUCUCUUUUCCACCUAGUAUGAAUAAAAGUCCAGCACCUUUUAUGAUUGUUCAUUCAGAUGUAUGGGGUCCUGCAAAUGUUUCCUCUUUAAAUGGUGCACGCUGGUUUGUUUCAUUUAUUGAUGAUCACACACGUAUGACUUGGGUUUGUUUGAUGAAGUCAAAAAAUGAAGUUAGUUCUUUGUUCCAGAAUUUUCACAAGAUGAUAGCAACUCAAUAUCAAUCUCACAUAUAGGUUCUCCGCACUGAUAAUAGUGGAGAAUUUGUUAAUCACGAUUUGAAACAGUACCUCACUUUACAUGGCAUUGCUCAUCAGACAACUUGCUCGUAUUCUCCUCAACAAAAUGGGCUUGCGGAGCGCAAGAAUCGUCAUCUUCUUGAAGUCGUACGUGCAUCAUUAUUCGGUGCCCACAUGCCUAAGAGUUAUUGGGGUGAAGCUGUUACAGUUGCAGCCUACCUCAUUAAUCGUGUUCCGUCAAGUUCAUUACAAUUUCAGACUCCUCUCCAUGUACUUCAUGAGACUAUAAGUGUUCCCACCAUGCCGAAUCAGCAACCUAGAGUAUUUGGGUGUGUAGCCUUUGUACAUCUUCACAAAUCCUUGAGAAAUAAACUAGAACCUCGAGCUGUUCGGUGUGUAUUUGUCGGCUAUGGUUUGUAUCAAAAAGGCUAUAGAUGUUAUCACCCUCCAUCUCGUAAAACGUAUACUACACUUGAUGUUACAUUUCAUGAGGAUGAAAUGUAUUAUUCUAUCCCUGAGACUUCAUUUCAAGGGGAGAAUAGAGUUGAAUUGCAGACUCCAGAUUUUUUAGAAGAUUUUACAAGCAAUAGCUAUCGGGAGAAUUGGGAAACUCAAAAUGGAGUAGCUGAUCACACUUUAGAUGGUGAAAAUCCAAUGGAAGUAGUAACGCCAGCCUCUACAUCACCCGAAGUAACGACUUCCUCUCCUCAAUCUGUACCAUUUAACCAAUUGUCUCUCCAACCCGAAUCAAUCUCUGAAACUCAGGUACACUUUGAGCCUCAGCCCCAUUUAAAAGUGUUGCCUGAUCGAGUUACUAGAGGAAUACCUCGACUAAAUUAUGAACCUACUCUUAGCUCUAAAACUAAAUAUCUUAUGAGUAAUUUCGUGUCUUAUCAUAGGUUGUCAAAGGAAUGUGAAUCUUUUGUGAAUCAAUUAUCUGUACUAUCUAUUCCUAACAGUGUGCAGGAGGCUUUGAAAGAUCCUAAGUGGAAGGAAGCAAUGAAUGAAGAAAUGAACUCUCUCCAAAAGAAUUCUACAUGGGAGGUCGUUGAUUUACCCGAAGGAAAGAAACCUGUAGGAUGUAGAUGGGUCUUCACUAUUAAAUACAAAGCUGAUGGAAUUGUUGAAAGGUUUAAGGCCAAGCUUGUCGCCAAAGGGUAUACUCAAACUUAUGGGGUCGAUUACAUGGAAACAUUUGCUCCAGUUGCAAAAAUCAACACUGUUCGUGUUCUAUUAUCUCUAGCCGUGAAUCUUGACUGGCCACUGCACCAAUUUGAUGUAAAAAAUGCAUUUUUGCAUGGAGACCUCCAAGAAGAAGUAUAUAUGGAAUCGCCUCCAGGAUGUAAAAUGCAAGUUGAAGGAAGUAAACAGGUUUGCAAAUUGCGAAAAUCUCUGUACGGCCUAAAACAAUCUCCUAGAGCAUGGUUUGGAAGAUUUACUAGCUCUAUGAAGGCUUUUGGAUAUCAACAAAGUAAUUCAGAUCAUACCCUCUUCUUGAAAUAUAAUAGAGAAAAAAUCAUUGUUCUUAUCGUAUAUGUUGAUGAUAUGAUAGUAACAGGAAAUGAUCCGGAAGAAAAGGCUGCACUACAAGAUCAUCUUGCUCAAGAAUUUGAGAUGAAAGAUUUGGGUUCGCUGAAGUAUUUCCUAGGAAUUGAAGUGUCAAGAUCAAAGAAAGGCAUUUUCUUAUCUCAGCGAAAAUAUGCCUUAGAUUUAUUAAAUGAAACUGGGAUGUCCGCUUGCAGUCCAAUUAGCACUCCUAUGGAAGAAAAUUUGAAGCUAAGCACAGAUCCAAAUCAAGUUCCAGCUAACAAGGAACGAUAUCAGAGAUUAGUAGGCCGACUAAUGUAUCUUGGGCACACCCGACCAGACUUAGCGUAUGCAUUAAGUGUGGUCAGCCAAUUCAUGCAUUCUCCAAAGGAAGAACAUAUGAAUGUUGUUAUUCGCAUUUUACUGUACUUAAAAUCAUCUCCUGGAAAGGGUAUUGUGUUUACAAAAGGCGAUAACUUGGAUAUUAAAGGGUAUACGGAUGCUGAUUGGGCUGGAUCAAUUGAUGACAGGCGUUCUACAUCUGGUUAUUUCACAUUUGUGGGUGGAAAUCUAGUUACAUGGCGAAGCAAGAAACAAGAUGUUGUAGCUAGGUCGAGUGCUGAGGCUGAAUACAGAGGGAUGGCCAAAGGAAUAUGUGAAUUACUAUGGAUCAAUAAUUUAAUGCAAGAUUUACGUAUUCAACAAGUCAGUCCCAUGAAGUUAUAUUGUGAUAAUAAAGCAGCCUGUGAUAUUGCACAUAAUCCAGUUCAACAUGAUCGAACUAAGCAUGUUGAAGUUGAUAGACACUUCAUCAAGGAAAAGCUGGAAGCAAAAAUCAUCGAGAUUCCUCAUGUCCGGUCGAAAGAUCAACUCGCGGAUGUGCUAACCAAGGCGGUAUCCAUCCAAGCCUUUAAUAAGUGUCUCAACAAGUUGGGCAUGUGCGAUAUAUAUGCACCAACUUGAGGGGGAGUGUUACGAAAUCAUUGUAAUCCAUCUCCUAUAAUUCCUAUUCUCUGUAUAUUUUAGUUCUAUUUGUAUACGUUACUAGCUAUACACGAUAGACUAGAAUAUUUUGUAAUCCUAGAUUAGAAGUCUGCACUAUUUAACUCCCACGAGUUGGAAUAAAAGAAUUGAGCUGAGUAUUUCCUUUGAAUCUUAUUUCCUCUGUACCAUUGUUUUCUACUAUAUCAACUAAUUAGCAGAUUAACCAUUAUUUCCUUCUAUAGUACUAGAGUUUCAAAUGAACUAGGAGCUGGGAAUGUGCAAAGAGCCCGUGUAGCUGUCUAUGCUGUGGUCUUUAUGGCAGUCAUGGAGACUAUCAUAGUAAGUGCAUCUCUCUUUGCCAGCCGGCGUGUUUUUGGUUAUGUUUUCAGCAAUGAGGGACAAGUUGUGGAUUAUGUCACAACCAUGGCUCCUCUAGUUUGUUUGUCUGUCAUCAUUGAUAGCUUACAAGGAGUCUUUUCAGGUUAAAUUAACUUCUUCAACUCUGUCAAUUGCUAAAUAGUUCUCUUUAAGUAGAAAUAAAAUUUUUCAGGUUUCUAAAUUCUUUUUAUUAUUUUUAAGGUGUUGCAAGAGGAUGUGGGUGGCAGAAUAUAGCUGCUUUUGUGAAUCUUGGGGCUUAUUAUUUUUGUGGAGUCCCAACUGCUGCCAUUUUGGGUUUCUGGUUAAAGUUUAGAGGAAGGGGCCUAUGGAUUGGGAUACAAGCUGGUGCUUUUACACAAACACUUCUGCUUGGCAUCAUAACAACAUUUACAGAUUGGGAAAAACAGGUCUGUUUCUCAACAUUUAAUCCCUUAAAAAUGAGAGAAGCUUAUUGGACUAUAUAUGUAAAUAUGUAGCAAUUUUUUUUCCCAAUAAGUAUAUGAUGCCUUAUGACUGAAAGUUCAAGAUUAAAAUCACUCAGCUUGAUCUGAAAUGGUUAGUAUUAUCAUCUUAUGCAGAAAUGGUUUUGCUCAUUGAGAAAAUGAUAUUCAAUAACACAAAUGCAAACUCAUUUGAAAAUUUUGCCAUUGAGAAAAUGAUAUUCAAUAACAGACAUGCAAACUCAUUUGAAAAUUUGCUUUUUUGCAAGAAUUAUAACCAUUUUCUAGUUUGUUAAUUGUUACGUCUUCUGUGUUUCUAAGGGGUUUCUCAUGUUGCAGGCAAGUAAAGCAAGGAAAAGAUUAUCAAAGGGAAGAUCUUUAGAAGAAAAUAGAAUAGUUUGUGAGUGAGCAGAGUCAAUCAAUGAGCUGAUAUAUACAUUUUCCAGUUGAAAGAGAUAAUCAUUGCUUGAGAAAAUGAGCUGAUCAUAUGUCAAUCGAUGGCCAAGAAGGUUCCCCAAUCUGAUCUACGGAGCAUGGCAUUUCAUAAAACUCUGUUUCUAGAGAAAAAAAAAAAAAUUAACAGCUUCUUAGGAUUGGAGCAUCAGGUGACUUAGCAUUUCCAGUAUGAAUGAAUUAUAAGAUAGAUGAUGCUGCAAAAAUGAAUAGAGAUAAAAUUAAGCAAGAGAAAAUGUUUGAAUGUUAUUAUUGAAACCUUUUCCAGUGAUUGUAGAGAUAAUUUUCUUUGUAUUGAAACUUUCAGCAUCUGAAAGAUAAGGAAAAUAUUAAAAGAAAAAAGAAAAUUCUUAAAUCUUUUCCAUGUCACUCCAGCAAAGUUGAAUUGUGAUUCUAAACCCUACACCAAAGUGUAAGGUGGCCUGUGGCCUAUAGGUAAUACACAAUUUGACAACCCCAUAUAUUUAGUAAUCUAGGUGGAUGCCAUUAAUUUUUUUUUUUUAAAUUUUUGUUCAUUUUUAAUGCAAACAACGCCUCUUUCAUUGAGGCAUUGGAAUAUAUAAAGAUUUGUAUACUGAUUUUGGACCAUAAUUCACAAAUAAUGCGACGCAUAUCUUUCUUUCAGUACUUCUUCAGGAGGAUAAGAUACAGACAUUGUUGUCUUUUUACCUGAAGCAAGUGCAUGUGCAUGAAUUGUUGUUGUCUGUUAAUCUGCUGCCACUUUGCUGCCAAAAAACUUGAAAAAUAAACCAGGAAAAUUUUCAAUAAGCAAAGCCAAAACUUUUAAACACUCAAAUAAAGCACAUAAGUAAAGUAUUUCUGUCACAUUAGCUUUCGAGUGAGGUUUGAUUUACAUUUAUAUCAUAUAUACCAAGUGUUUUUUAUUCUUUUAAUUAAUUUAUAUCACAGCUUGGAAAUUCUAAAAAUUAAUCAUGCUUAAUCUUGAGCAACAAUAUCUGUAAUCAUCAUACGAGGUCAAAAGUGAGGAAAAAAAAGGAAAAGAAAAAGCAAGAGUUAGUUUUAUGUAUAAAAGUGAAAGGAUCUGUUAUACAGUAUUUCUGUUGCAUGGUUUUCGGAGGCAUAGCAUUGUCCACAGCAUUUGGGCUUUGCUUCUGAUUCAAUGGCAUUUAGAAUUUGGUUUCAUCUGAGAUCAUAUAUAGCUUGAUCCUGAUAUCUUCCAUUUUGGAGGCAUUCAGUUAAAUUGAAGAAGUUUGAUGUUCCAGUUCAAAUUGGGAUUGCUGAAGAUAAUAUAUAUAAUUCUGUAGAGGUUUUCUAAUUUUUAUUUUUAGUAAUGUAUUCAUGUCCUGUCAUUCUUCUUUCUGCUUAAAUCCAAUUGCCCAUGUUGGAAUUUCUUUUCAGCUUUUGUAUUCUUUUUCCUUUUUGUUCAAUAAUGCUAUAGACGAUGCUCUACCAUUUAAAAGAUAUAAAUAACAAAUUUUAUAAAUUUUUACUUCGUCAAGGUGUGAAACCUUAUAAAAUUUAUAAAUUUAACUUAUGAACAGAGAAGCAUAAAAAAAAUGUUUGGAGUUGCUUAAUACCAUAGAAACAAAAGCAGAAAGAGAUGUUCAAGAACAAAACCCAAAAAUUUUCAUCAAGUGGAGCAUCGAUCAUGCCAGCAUAAUAACAUAAUUACAUAAUGCUCGAAGAGCACGCAUGACUUUCUCAAAAAAUAAUAUCACUUAAAUGAUCAAAAAACAGAAAUAAUUAAUUGAUUAUCCAUAUAUAUAAACAAGCCUAGCUCUCAAUGUGAAAUAUAUUAAAUCAGCAACUAUAAGAUUUUCGGUGAUGAUAUUUCCACCCCAUAAAUUUUAUAAACCCACCCAUUUUUUUAAAAAAAAAUUAUUAUAAUAAGUUCACAUCAUUUUUUUUAAAUUUAAAUUAAGAAGAAAUUAAAAAAUUAAUCAAUUAAAUCUAUAUUCAUUUCUUUUUUUUUUAAUUAUGUUUCUUUAUUAAAUUUCAUCAAUAAGGUUGCUUUAACAUAAAUUAAUAUGACUAUUUUACCCUUAUAAGGUAAAAGUACCAAAAUAUCUAAAAAUUCACUUUAACUUUAAUAAAAUUUUAUGCAAUUUUUUUUAAUAUUUUAAUGAUAUAUAAGUAAUUGUUAGUACAAUUAUUAUUUCUCCACUAAACUAACAAAAUAUAAUUAGGACAUGUGGUGGAAUGAAAAUAAUUAAAUUUUAUAUAAAAACCUAAGCAAUUAGUUACGAUAAAUAUAUAUAUAUAUAUAUAUAUAUAUAUAUAGUAAUUUGGUUAUUUUAUAUUAUAAGGGUAAAAUAGUCAAAUUAAAUUUAUCUUGAGGCAACCUUCAAAAGUUAAAGAUUGUUAAAAGCUUAAGUCCAAAAAAUAAAAAUAAAAAUAAAAUUAUAAAAUUGAUUUAAUUAAUUAAUUAUUCAAAGCUUUUAUUAAUUUGUAAUUUUAUAAAAUAAUGUAAAUUUAUUGUAAUUAUUUUAUGGAGGUGGAGGGGGUUUAUAAAAAUAGUGGGGUGGAAAUAUUCACACCCUUCAAUUAAUAGUUAGGAUAAUUUUUAGAUACUUCCCCUAAAGUUUGGCUUUGCUUCACUUUUAGAUCAUUUUUAGAGAGAAUGUAUCUAUCUAUUGACAAGAGUGAUGAUACAACCAUAAAUUUUUAUACAAAUUUAUCUUGUAUAAAUUUAUUUGUCAUUAAUUCAUUGGUUGAAUAAAAAUGUAAAAUAAUAAAAAUAUAUCAUGUGGGUCCAGAGAUAUUUAAUUCAAGUAAUUUCAUCAUAUCACAUCAAUUUAUACAAAAUAAAUUUAUACAAAAAUUUAUAACAUUAUUAUCUAAUGGAUAAUAUACCCCUUGUCCGUGUAUAUAAGGGAUAGGCACUGAUUAAGUAGUUGCAGUAUUUUUUUUUAAAAAAUCUUACAAAAGCUAUUAUACUGUAACUAAUCAGCUAGUGAAACCCGAGGGGAUAGUAACCCAUUUUCAUUGUCAAUGCCUAGCUUCAUUUUUUUUUUUUUUUUCUCACUUGAUGAGUGCUUACCUUCAUUUCGAAGGUCGUGACACCAACUGAUUUUAGCAAAAGCAGAGAUACUUUGUGAUGCAGUAAGCUAACAAGUUUCUGAAAUCAACUAUGUUUUGAACCAAAUUUCGACGACGACCAGCAGCUGAAAAGCCGGUGAUUAAAGGGCACACUAGGUGCGUAAUUCUAUCAAAGCAUAAAACUGAAGUUAGGUUUUAUUAUUUUCUUGCAUUUUGUUGAAAAUUGCUGUUAGUUAGGUCCUUUAUUCUUUGUUCCCAUUAAUUGAGAAAAAUGUUUAGGGUUUAUAGAAAUUGAAGUAGUGACCGAAUAUAUCUGAAAUGAUUUUUGAGUUGAUAGUCAUUCGAAAUGUUGUGUAAACCAUGCAAAUGAUUUAUUUUUUGAUGAUUUUGGACUGUGGGUUUUGAAUGCUCACUGAAAUUUGCUUGAUAUGUUCUUUAAAUUGAGAAAAAUCCAAGCUUCUUCUAAGAAUACAGAGGUGUUGCUGAGAAAAUGCUUAUGGUGUUGUUUUGUUUCUUUUUUUAUUUUACAAGUGGGCAGUUCAUGUAAGAUUGAGACAGUUGCUCUUGUUGCUUUUUGAUGUUUUGUAUAGACUGAUUCCAAUCACUGAUUUCUGUUGGUAAAUGGAUGCUAUUUUUUUUUUUUCCUUUCUUCACAUAAAAAUUUGUACUUCCCAACAUAAAAUUCAGAUGCUUGCCUAUUGUUUUUUGAGGUUCUCAUUAAGGUGUAAGAGAUAAAUUAAUUAUAGAGCUUGUAGGCAGUUGGUUUAUUGAAGAACCAGUACAGUUGAGAAAGUGUCUUUUGGGACAUCCAUUUUAAUACACAGAUUAACAGAUUUAAUUACAUAAACACAAGACUUCAUUUGUUUAUCAAAGUAGUACUUUUGAUGCUUUCGUAUAAUGAAUGCCAAAGAGAUGACAUUUGCAAAAAGGCCAUUUGAAUGUACCAAUUGCUAUCCUUGUAAACCUCUAUUGUGAUUCUGUUAUCAUUAUAUGUUGUUUAAUGAUCUGAUGAUUUCGAGAUAUCAAGAUGAGUUUAUGGUAGUACAUGUUCAUUUAGCUACUUUAGGUACUAAUACAUGGAUUUAUUGUAUAAUGCCUACUUAGCAGCCAUAACUACACUCAUUGUUGAAGCUACAGCAACACAAAUGAGAAAAAACAUGCUGAGGAACAACAUUGUCUUUAUAUCAUUGCAUUUUACUCCAUUUACAAAUCUUGUUUGAAAAUCGAAUGAAUUUAAAAUAUUAUCGUUUAUUGUUUUUUUGUAGCAUUUACUAAUCUUCUGAUAUUCAGUAUUGUUUUUAUAUAAAUUAAUUUAAAAUAUUAUCAUUUAUUUAUCUUAUUAUGUGAUUUUACACUAUCAAAUUAUUUGUUUUAAGGGGCAUUUUGGUCUUUUCAGCACUCAUUUGAGUUUUGUCUUAUUAUAAGAAUAUGUAAUGUCAACAGCAAUUAUCAUAAGAGUAUAAUGGCCUUUUCACUGCUCUACAAACCCCCCCCUCCAACCCCGCGGCCAAAAACAAUUUCGCCCCAAAUAUAAAGAUCAUCUACCGUGUCCAAUAAUUUUGGCAUUCAUUGAAAUGUGUACUGAAGGGCAUUAUUGUAUAUUCACUCAACUACCUAACGGGUGCCUAACCUUCAUACAUGGCCGGGGGGUAUAUUGUCAAUAUAUGGAUACAUUCUCUCUAAGUGUAUCAAAGCCAAACCUCAGGGGAGGUUUCUAAAAGUUUUCCUAAAUAGUUAAUAAUUUUGUACAACAGAUUCCUGGAUACGCCUCAAGUUCACUGAUUCUACGUUAUGGCUGACUUUCAAGAAAUUAAAUUCUACAUUAUGACCCCCAGUGAAACAUUGUCGCCGAUAAAAUUAUAAAAUAUAUGUGUAAUAGUAGUCAAACCUAAACCUACGUCGUUUAGCAAUUUACAAAAUGAGAAAGACGACAAAAGCCAGGUGUUGGACCGGCAACGAGCCAACGAGAUAAGCUCAAGUUCACUGUGUUUUUUAUGAACCCUCUGAAGACCCGAAACUCUGGGUUUGUUUUUUACGUUCCCUAACUGUUUGACUACAUUUUUAUUCUUUGCUACAUUCGUUAUGAACUGUUCAGGCUAAGUGCUCGACGAAAUUCCUAAGUGAGUAUGUAUAAUGGUUUGCUCUUGUAUUUAUUCUGUUAUAGAAGGUUUUGCUUUGGGUGGUUAAAUAGAAGAGACUAGACAUUGAACUUUAUGCACUUGUAUGUUUUCAAGUAAUUGGUUGUUCAGGGACAUGUACUUUGAAUUGCUUCAUUCAUCUUCAGAGAUAUCAUAACUUUUGUUGUUAAUUUGUCCAAAGUGAAGGCUUUUUUAACUUUUAUUUCUUUGAUUUAUUUAUUUAUUGGUGUAUCGAGGUUCUGUGUCUAAACUUUUAUUUGAUAAGUUCUUUCAGACUACUAAUUAGAAGAAAAAAGUGCUAGAGAGUGAGUAUGAGAGGGAAUGAUGUUUGGGCAAGGGGUGAUUGGUUCACUUGGCUCAUUAAGAACCCCAACUAUAAUGGCAUGUAUCAAUUUCGCAGCCUAAUUGGCAG